GACACAACCCCCCACCACUACCUCCACCGCCAGUCUACAGCUUCAUAUCUAAGCUAACCUUCUGCGACCCUUUUGAAAAUUUGUAUCAAACAGUUCAGAUUUCAACCUUCAAUGGCGGAUGAGGUGGUUUUGUUGGAUUUCUGGCCCAGCCCGUUUGGGAUGAGGCUGAGGAUCGCUCUGGCUGAGAAGGGCAUCGAGUAUGAGUACAAAGAAGAUGACUUGUGGAACAAGAGCCCAUUGUUGCUGCAGAUGAACCCGGUUCACAAGAAGAUCCCGGUUCUCAUUCACAAUGGAAAACCGGUCUGUGAGUCCCUCAUUGCACUUCAGUACAUUGAUGAGGUUUGGAAUGAUAAGGCUCCACUCUUGCCCUCUGACUCUUACCUCAGAGCCCAGGCCAGGUUCUGGGCUGACUUCGUCGACAAGAAGGUGAUUUUUACUCAUUAAUUUACUUAUUUGUAGGAUUAUUUUUGUUUUGAAUAUGUUUGGUUUGAAACAAUUGAACAAUGUUGUUUUAGAAUUUUAAGAUUAUAAGUGUUUAGGGUGUAUAAUGAUUUUACCACUUAGGAUUUGUAUUAGAAGGGAAAUUAAAUGGAACUGGAUCUCUGUUUAUGUUUUCGGGUUAAGAUUUCAUGUAAUGGUUUCGGGUUUAGGGUUUGAGGUUUAAGGUGUGUGAUGUAUAUUUAGAAAGAUAUAAGCAGAAGAUCUGAACUUGCAGAUACAUGAGAAUGGGAGGAAGUUGUGGACAACCAAAGGAGAAGAAUAUGAUGCAGCAAAGAAAGACUUUCUCGACUGCAUCGGCGUGUUAGAAGGAGAGCUCGGAAACAAGCCCUUCUUUGGCGGGGAGACCCUCGGAUUCGUGGACGUGGCGCUUGUUCCAUUCUAUAGCUGGUUUCUUGUGUAUGAAAAAUUUGGCAACUUCAGUGUUGAGGCAGAGCACCCAAAGUUCAUUGCCUGGGUUAAGAGGUGCAUGGAGAGGAGAGCGUGUCCAAGUCGCUUCCCGAGCAGGAAAAGGUCUACGAUUUCUUCAUGCUUAUAAGGAAAAAGCGUGGGAUUGAGUAGAUAUUGGUGGAAGCCUGGCAAGAAGCUAUUGAUGAUCAGUGUCAUUCCAACUUGUUUAGGUCAUUGGUUUUUCUGUCUUUCAAGAUUCAACUGUUUUCGGUUGUUGAAUUAGAAUAAAAGGGCACUUGACAAGGCUUGCACUGUAUGAGGCACUUUAUUGUGCCUCAGGUCAAUAUGUUUAUUUUGCUUCUGUAGUCAACCUAUCACAGUGUUGUCAACUUGUUAUGCAAGGGAUCUAAAUCUACUUGAUCAAUUUUCUUAUUUUGUAACUACAUAUCGAAUGAUGGAUUAUUGGCUGUCACCAGUUGCAUUUAAUCGUGAGUCUAUCUUUCUUAUCAGGUAACAAAGACUCAUGGUUGUAUGCGGUAGAUUAUACAGUGAAUUUUCUUUUUAUCCAACUUUGAGUCAACAUUGAUAAGUCAUAUGAGAUCAGGUGCAGCAGACACAGCAAAAGAUCUCACCAGAACAUCUCAGACAGAAAAACAAACUGAAAAGAAAAUGAACUAGAAUAACGCAUCCUAACAUUCAUCAUCGAACUUUUAACAUGGUGAUCAGGACAAUCUCAAAUACAUAAAACCUCGUCCGACUCCGCCAUUGUUGACUUGAUGCACAAACUUCUUGCAGAUCAAUUUGCUUCUUGCCAAAUAUUUGACACCUACGUUUCAGUCUCACUUAUAUUGGCCAAUUUUUGUUUCAUAAUCUAUAUUAAGUCAGCCAGUAAUAUUUUCUACAUAAACAUUUUUAUUCCUGUAAUUUGAUUCAUAUUUCAUUUUUGUAUACCUAUAUAAACCUACUUCAUGGGAUCCCUGCGCUAAACCAACUUUGCCUUUUGAAAAUUCAUAGUGCUCUUCAUUAAUUAGAAAGGAGGCAAAAAUACAGCAACGCCCUAAUGAGACCCCCUUCCGAUGUUGAGCCCUAAUGAUACCCCCUUCCGAUGUUGAACCAUCACUCAGACUAGAACACCACAAUGACACCACAAUUACACUUCAAUGAUUUAAAAAACAACCAAAACCUCAUUUUCAAAGAACUCCAUUUACCAACAAGUGACUUACAUUUCAAUUUGAUUUAAACCAAAAUUCUUAAGAUUUUGAACCACCAGUGCAACAAUAACAAUCUGACAACCCCACAACGACACUCCAAUGAUACUCUCCAUUUUAUGAUUUGAACUGGCACAACCACAACAACAAUCUGAUGAUGUCACAAUGACAUUCCAACGAUAUAUACUUCCCUUUUUAUGAUUUUGAACCAACACAACCACAACAACAAUUUGAAGAUGCCAAAACGACACACCCCCAUUUUUUUGAUUUCGAACCACCUCAGCCACAACACUUCAUUCAAGGAACCCUCUCCUUCUACAUUCCCUAACCACCACAACCAAAUUUCAAAUACAAAAAAAAUCAAAUAAUUGAGCUAAAGCAAGAUGAAACAGAGAGGGGAAGAAGAAGAAUGGAUACGGGAGGUGGAGCAAUAAGAAGCUUACCUCCUUUCAUGGUGUUCCAAAUGUUAUUUACCGCUCCAAAUUCAAUUAGUCAAGACGGCGCAAUCGAAAAAUGGAUUUGGGAGUGUUGUUGGGUGUUGGUAGUUUUUUUUUUAUCAAUGAAGAACAUGAUGACCAAUAAAAAGAUAAGUGAAGGGUAGUGUGGACUUUUCAUAUGAAAAUUUGAUCAAAAGAACAAUUUUUAAUAAGUGUGAUAAAAAAUAUAACCAAAUGUCAAAACAUAUCUAUUUUGGCUAAUUGCUGUAUAAUCUUCUGAGGUCAUAAUUGGAUCUAGCCUCCAACAAAACCACUAAACUAAAAGCUAGUGACAGUAACCCAUAAGUAAAUAUUACUAUAAAAGCGACCGAGAGUGAUAAUAAAACUUGGCAAAAUAAAUUUAUAUUGAUAGUGGAGGUUAGAUUUGCUCCAUAUCGAGGCUCCUUAUCGGACUUGGCUUUCUCGUGCUAUUAAUUGUAGACACUUUUGAUAUUGUUGUGGAGUGAUUGUUGUCACUGGCCUUUAAUGAGUCAAGGACCUAUGAGUUGAUUGGUGAAUAAGAUCUAAAAAUGUGUUUUCACUAAUGUAAUAUAAAUAGGUGGUUAUUCUAGCAUUACUCUUCAUAUACAAUUGGAUGAUUCAAAUCUUUUUUGUAACCUUCUUCAUGGCCUGGAAUUAUACAACUGUUUUUUUCCCUAAUAGUUCUUAUUACACCUUUACUUGAUUUGCAUCACUUCCUUUAUGUUAAUAAAAUUAGACGAUUGCACAUGCUUCCUUACGGACCCAAAGACAACAUUUUUUUUUAACCAUUCUAGUUCCGUGUGGUUGAAUGGGAUUACAGGCUUUAGGGUUUUAGGGAUGCAGCACACCCCAAUAUUGCUAAAGGAAUUGUGACUCUAAAAACUACUUAGCCUAGGUGGUGCACAUACCGAAUAGCUAAUAAGUUAACUACGUUCUUCGGUUGAAUGCGGAGUGUGCCAACUCGUCUGUCAAGCUCGGCCGGGGAGUGAAUAAAUGUUGAUGUGACGUUGGGCACUGAUGACUUCUGAAUCUUGCGAUUGCGGCCGAGGAAGGAGCACAUCUCGCCCUUUGGGUUCUAAAGCCUGAAGACAAGGCUGCUAGUUCAGUAGAUUGACGACCGCGAGAUUGGAUCCACCGCAAAAUCACCUUCUUCCUCAAAAAUUGUAUCCAGCAUUUUCGUCAAUGGGCGUUUGCUUAUUGAAAUGAACUGUGAUACUGCAACUUCUGUACGAGUACUCUUGGAGUUUGGCACUUUACCAUUCCUUCCAUUGCAAUGGAGGUAUGGAAUUAUGACAAUGCAGUUCUGGAAAGGGAAAAUUGGGAAGGUAGAGGAAGAUGGAGAGGUUGAAAGAGAAUAUGGUGCAAUGAACAAUUUUCUGGGGUUUUGUAGGGGUUUUAGAGAUUGAAAUUUGGCUGUUAUUUUUGUCUUGACGGCUACAUCUAAGGACAUUUGGUACUUUCCCAAUCCACCUUUAAUAUUCUAACUAAUGAGUCCACGUUCUAAUUAAAUUAGUUUAGUCUAUGAAGAAAGAAAUUCGAACUUUGAUGCACAAGAACUAACGAGCUGGUCUAACUCACAACUGCACUAUAAGAAUUGUCGAUAACAAUAUCAUUUUAUUUUUUAGCUUUCAUUUUUACGUUAAGGGUAAAGAGAAAACAUUAGAUAAAGGAGAUAUGGUGGUGAGAUGAGGAGGGGAAAUGAAGAACAAUGCAUGAAACCAACUUUGCCUAUCGAAAAUUCAUAGUGCUCUUCAUUAAUAAGAAAGGAGGCAAAAAUACAACUUUGCCCUUCGGUGUAUAGUUGACUUCAUUUUUAUUUUUUAUCAUUUUUACUUCUUCUUUAUAUACAAUUUUGGAUAAUGCAUGCAUGCGUGCCUAGGUUUCUGAUUUUUUUUUAUAUUACCUAGGGGUUUACAUAUUAUAUGCUCGCGUGAAGAUACUGUAGACAUCGAAAUUUCGAUAAAUAAAUGUUGACCGAUAAAUCAAAGUGUCAACGCUCGUGUAUUACAUAAAUUUUACACGUAGCGUGUGACUCAACGAAAAUUGAAAUGAGUUGGAAAAAGUCAUCAAAUAGAACACGUGUCAACACCUGGCAGAAACGACUUAUUUCAUCUGGGAUAUUAUAUUCAAAAUUAAGCCUUGGAAAAUUCUAUAAAUACAAGCCCAUUUCAUUCAUUUGGAGGGGGAACCAAAAUCAUUAGGCAAAAUUCUUGAAGCUCUGAAGCUCUGAAACUCCGAAGCUCUCAAGCAUCCAGGUUCCCGAAGAAUCAAGAAAGUGUUCUUCGUUCUUCGUUCUUCGUUCUUCCAAGAUCAAGCCCCAACGGCCCUUUGGAUCAACAAUCAUCCACCAAUUCAAGAUCAAGCCCCGACGGCCCUUGAAGAAAGUGUUAUUCGUUAUUCGUUCAUCGUUCUUCCAAGAUCAAGCCCCAACGGCCUUUUGGAUCAACAAUCGUCCACCCAUUCAAGAUCAAGCCCCGACGACCCUUGAAGAAAGUGUUCUUCGUUCCUCGUUCAUCGUUCUUCCAAAAUCAAGCCCCGACGACCCUUAGAUCAACCAUCCAUCAAUUCAAGAUCAAGCCCCAAAGGCCCUUGAAGAACUUCCACCAAUUCAAGAUCAAGCCCCGACAGCCCUUGAAGAAAGCACCAUCGUUCAUCAUCCGUUCAUCCAAGAUCAAGCCCCAACGGCCCUUUGGAUCAACAACGUCAACAAAUCCACACAUCUAACCGUUCUUCAAGAUCAAGCCCAAAAGCCCUUGAAGAUCCGUUCAUCACUGUUCUUCAAGAUCAAGCCCAAAAGCCCUUGAAGAUCCGUUCAUCGCCAUUAUUCAAGAUCAAGCCCAAAAGCCCUUGAAGAUCCGUUCAUCACCAUUAUUCAAGAUCAAGCCUCAACGGCCCUUGAAGAAACACUCAUCCUUAAGAUCAAGCCCCAACGGCUCCUUGAAGAUCCGCUCAAAUCCACCUUCAAAGAUCAAGCCCACGGUCCCUUGAAGAAACUUCCAACAGUUCAUCCAAGAUCAAGCCUCGACGACCCUUGGAUCAACGAAACAUCCACAAAUCAAUACCUUACGGAAAUCGAAUCAGAUGAUCAAGAUAAAAAGAUUGUAACCUUACAAAUCCAUUAACACCAAAAUCUUUCUUUGCACACGUUGUUCUUGUCUCUUUCGUUUCAGGAAUUUUCCGUGUUCACAAAUUGGCACACCCGGUGGGAUAAUCUCUACCUCUCAUCUCUUUCUCCGUUCAAGAAAUUCGAGCACACUUCCAAAAUUAAUGGCAUCAAGGAAGGUUCAAACUGUUCCCGCAACUGGCGUAAAGAACAAGAGCGUCAUCGUCGCAAGUGGUGUCAUUUUAGGCAUCACGACUCGAAGCAAGGCAAGAGCUACUUCUGCCGCCUCUUUCACCUCUGCAUCAACUAUGCCAAGGGAAUAAGAGCACCCAAGGCACGAGCCUUUGAUCACCUUAGCCUCACCAAGGGCACCAAGGAGCGAAAGUCCAAGGAAAUACUCCGAAUCCAUACUCUCCGAUGCCGAUUCGAGCGGCAGUUCAGCCAUGCAAGUCAUGACCAUUGGAGCAACUUCAAUCGAUGAGUAGCUGGCUCAAAUGAAUGAAGCAAUCGCAAGGCUAACCCGAACUGUGGAAGAAAAAGACUUGCAAAUCGCUGCACUCGUCAGCCGACUGGAGCCACAGGCGGCGAGAACCCUAACCCAGAAGAUGAGCCUACGGUGGAGAGAAUCGAUGCGAAGCCGGAGCCAGACCAAGCAGCGGCACUCAUGGGAUCUCUUUCUAUCCAGCAGUUGCAAGAGAUGAUCACCAACACCAUCAAGGCACAGUACGAAGGGAGCUCAAAUACCUCCGGGUUGUACUCAAAGCCUUAUUCAAAGAAGAUUGAUGCCCUAAAGAUACCGAGGGGAUAUCAACCACCAAAGUUCAUGCAGUUUGAUGGAAAAGGAAACCCAAAGCAGCAUGUUGCACAUUUUGUCGAAACUUGCAACAACGCGGGGACUGAGGUAGACUACCUCGCCAAGCAGUUUGUGCGCUCGCUAAAAGGAAACGCCUUUGAGUGGUACACGGACCUAGAGCCUGAGUCUAUCAACAGCUGGGAACAGUUGGAAAGGGAAUUCCUCAACCGCUUCUACAGCACCCGCCGCACUGUGAGCAUGCUAGAGCUAACGAGCACAAAGCAGUGGAAUGACGAGCCAGUCAUUGACUACAUCAACAGAUGGCGCACUCUAAGCCUCGACUGUAAAGACAGGCUCUCGGAAACUUCUUCAAUCGAGAUGUGUAUCCAAGGCAUGCAAUGGGGUUUGCAAUACAUCCUUCAAGGCAUCAAACCACGGACCUUCGAGGAAUUGGCCACUCGCGCCCAUGACAUGGAGUUGAGCAUCGCCCAUCAUGGGAAGAAGGAACCGAUCACCGACUACAAGAACGACAAAGUUCUUGAGACAAAGGUAGAGAAGGCUGCGUGGAAAUCCACUAAAGAAGCGAUGACGGUCAACACAUCUCCCGUCAAAAUCUCCACACGAGGCAAGGCGAUUCAAACCGAAGCUUUUCGUGAUCAAGAGAUGCGUAGACGCACUUUGAAGGAGCUUGAGGAGAAGACUUAUCCGUUCCCCGACUCUGAUGUGGUUGCCAUGCUGGAUGACCUGUUGGACAAGAAGGUGAUCAGUUUGCCUGAGUGCAGACGGCCGGAAGAGAUGAAUCGUACCGACAGCCCAAGAUACUGUAAAUUCCACCGCUUCAUCAGCCAUCCAACGGAAAAGUGCUUCGUACUGAAAGUGCUUCAUACUGAAAGAUCUCAUCCUGAAGCUGGCACAACAAGGGAAAAUCGAGCUUGACCUCGAAGACACGGUUGCGGCACACACUACUACUAUCGUGUUUGGAUCACUUGAUCAUAUGCCUUUCCGAAGCAUGCAUGACCAUUCCCGUCAAUGUUCAAGUCAUAAGGCACCUCCUACACAACCAUCACCGGGGGCAAGCAACCAAGAUGCAGCUACUGGUGAUAAGAAAGAGUGGACAUCGGCGACCUACAAAAAAACGAGGAAGCCAAGACCACAAGCCACAAGACCAAAAGAAGAGCCUAAACCCGCCCCUCGAACUUCAGUCUUCGAAAGGCUGAAUUAUUCAAAACCUAGAAUUUCGGCACUUGAUGACAUUAGUGGUCAAGACCAAACUUCCGUCUUCAAAAGGCUUGAGACGCCAACACCGCAAAGAUCUGUCUUUGAAAGGUUAUCAAAACCCAAGAAACAAAGCGGCACAGCUAGAUUUCCUCCACAACGGUCGGCUUUGGACAGACUUGAAGAAACUAAGAAGCCUUCUAGAAACAGGAAGACAACGCCAAAGGGAGAAAAGCUCGACAGUCUAGCAAGAAAAGACGAUGUUCAAAGUUUGAUUCCUUCAAGGAUGAAGCGCCAAGCAACUUUGGAAGUCGACACAAAAGGACCACUGAAGGUAAGGAGGCGCACCAUCAUCUACACUGGCCAACCUUCACGGCAACAAACCCAAGAGGACCGCACUGAAGAGGAGGCCCAAGAAGACAAAGAAGACGAAAUCCUGGAAGAAGACCUCACUUCCGGCUCUGUCAACUCAAAAUCUUCACCUCAAUCGCUGGGGGCAUGCUCCAAAAACAUGCCAGUCAAGCCGAGUGAAGUUAAAGGAUGGACUUAUGUCACUCAUGUUCACCUCCAAAACAUGCCAGUCAAGACUUCACAUUUUUUAUUGUUUUAGUGAUUUCGAUGACAUCGAUAAUUAUUUAAUCUUGCGUUUGCUGCAUUAUUUAAACUUCUAUAUUCAUAUUCAUCUUUUAGGGUUCAUAUUAAUCUUGCGUACCUAGUAACAUGAGUCGUAUUAGCGCUAGAGUCAUAUACUACUUUUACAAAUUGAGGAUAGCCAUUCUCCACAUGAACUCCUACUCUCAAUCUUUAGCCGUUUAAUUGACGUAUGUUUCUCAUUGCAAGUUUUUCUUUCUUUUUUCUUCUUCUUUCCUUGUCAUUGGGAGAUGAUCAGUGGAAAAUGAGGAGAGACAUGGCCUGUAUUAAAGAAAUCCGAGACCAAUUUAGUUUUGAUUUAUUAAUUAACUUCUACACCUAGAUCAUUAACAGAGAUAGGGUCUUUAUUUAUUUUGUUCAAGACUAAGUCUAAAGACUUGUGAAAUAUAUAUAGAAGCAUUAUUUGUUAGCAGUAACGAGAGUGUCUUUUUUUUUUUUUUUUUUUUUUUUUUUUACUCGGAAAGACUUAGCACCACGGGUCAUUUUUUUAAGGCUUUUUAGAAGUUGAAUAAGAUGAUUUCAAACUAUACUAAGAUGAUUUCAAAUCAUCAUUUUGAAAUCAUUCGGCAACUACUAAACGUUCAGAUGAUUUGAAAUAUUUCGACAAAUUAAACGUUCAAAUGGUUAUAUUCAAUCCCUGAAAAUUAAAAAUGAGUGUUAUAAGAUUUGAGAAAUGGGGGGUGUAAAGAAAAUGUGGGGUGUAUGUACAAAAUAUAAGAUGUAUAUUGAGAAUGCAGGGUGUGGGGUAUUAUGGGAAAGUAUGUGGGGUGUAUGAAGAUAAUUUUUAAGUGGAAAAGCAAAUAUAGGGUGUAUUAAGUAUGUGAGGUUUAUUCAACAAUUUGUGGGAUGUUAAUAUAAUUAGCUAAACUGAAAACCAAAAAAAUAAAAACUCAAAAAAGUAGUUUUUAGUUUCAAAUUUUUGCAAACUUAAUAUUGAUAAUAGUUACCAAACAAAAUUUUAAUUUUUUAGAAGAAAAAAAAAACCUAAAAAUGCAAUGAUUAUCAAAAUGAGUUAGUUAAACCAAUGAGCGAUUGUGGACAAAAUUGGGCUGGACUGGAACUAGGCUUUACAUAUUUGAAAUAGGAGUGGACCCAAGACUUACAUAUUUUAAACAGAACCUAAUGGCCCGACCCAUUUAACUCUUAGGGCCAGAGGUAUAGGGCCAAGUACGACUUGGGCAGCUAUACCUUGGGCUCUUGUUGGCCUUCCCGAUCCAAUCUACAGGCCUACUAGAAACUACGGGUCCAACUCACUGUGGGUAUCAAAGUUGGUUGAAGGCCUUUUCAGUAUCUAACUUAUAGAUUAUUUUCUAGGGAGUUUUAACGAAAAGCCCACAGUAUUGUUUAUUUUAACGAAAAACCACAUUUUUAUACUAAAAAGUCAAACUUGAUACUAUUCACUUUACUCUUUAUUUUGUCCUUAUCAUUAAAACUCAAAAUUUUCAAACUUUUUUCAUUAGUUUUCCUUAUGUUCUAUUACAUUUUUUUACAAGGGAUAUUGAAGGACAUGAGCUGGCUUCAACUAUAAAUCCCUUCUUGUUACAAAGUUGAAUUCUUGACCAGUUAAAAGAAGGAAGAAAAGUAGAAGGAUUUUGUUCAUGCCACUUUACAGCAGUAGCGGAAAUCAUUAAAUCUUACGUUUCACGAGUUUAGUUUGAUCACACCAAUUUUUUAUUUUAAAAUUUAACAAUUUAAUUUACUGAACACUACAUUUAGUCAAAACCCAAAAGAAAAUUAUGAGAAUUUCAGGAUUUUAAUGUCGUAAGCAGUUACAUAAUCAGAUCCAAAUCGAACGAUCUCGAAUGUAUCCAAAAAAGAAGAAAAAUAGAAUAUCUCCAUUCCUGCAGUGUAGUUUUUCACUUCAACUUUUGUCUAUAAAUAGACACAACCCCCCACCACGACCUCCACCGCCAGUCCACGGCUUCAUAUCUAAGCUAACCUUCUGCGACCCUUUUGCAAACUUGUAUCAAACUGUUCAGAUUUCAACCUUCAAUGGCGGAUAAGGUGGUUUUGUUGGAUUUCUGGCCCAGCCUCUUUGGGAUGAGGCUGAGGAUCGCUCUGGCUGAGAAGGGCAUCGAGUAUGAGUACAAGGAAGAGGACUUGUCGAACAAGAGCCCACUGUUGCUGCAGAUGAACCCGGUUCACAAGAAGAUCCCGGUUCUUAUUCACAAUGGAAAACCGGUCUCUGAGUCCCUUAUUGCGCUUCAGUACAUUGAUGAGGUUUGGAAUGAUAAGGCUCCACUCUUGCCCUCUGACUCUUACCUCAGAGCCCAGGCCAGGUUCUGGGCUGACUUCGUCGACAAGAAGGUGAUUUUUACUCAUUAAUUUACUUAUUUGUAGGAUUAUUUUUGUUUUGAAUAUGUUUGGUUUGAAACAAUUGAACAAUGUUGUUUUAGAAUUUUAAGAUUAUAAGUGUUUAGGGUGUAUAAUUAUUUUACCACUUGGGAUUUGUAUUAGAAGGGAAAUUAAAUGGAACUGGAUCUCUGUUUCUGUUUUCGGGUUAAGAUUUCAUGUAAUGGUUCCGGUUUUAGGGUUUAGGGUUUAAGGUUUAAGGUUUGUGAUGUAUAUUUAGAAAGAUAAAAGCAGAAGAUCUGAACUUGCCCAAAACAAUGUAUAUUAAUUUCCCCGAAAUUUGGGAUGUGAAAUGCAGAUAUUCGAGAAUCGGAAGAAGUUGAGGACAACCAAAGGAGAAGAAUAUGAUGCAGCAAAAGAAGACUUUCUCGACUGCAUCGGCGUGUUAGAAGGAGAGCUCGGAGACAAGCCCUUCUUUGGCGGGGAGACCCUCGGAUUCGUGGACGUGGCGCUUGUUCCAUUGUAUAGCUGGUUUCUUGUGUAUGAAAAAGCUGGCAACUUCAGUGUUGAGGCAGAGCACCCAAAGUUUAUUGCCUGGGCUAAGAGGUGCAUGGAGAAGGAGAGCGUGUCCAAGUCGCUUCCCGAGCAGGAAAAGGUCUACGAUUUCUUCAUGCUUACAAGGAAAAAGCGUGGGAUUGAGUAGAUAUUGGUGGAAGCCUGGCAAGAAGCUAUUGAUGAUCGGUGUCAUUCCAACUUGUUAGGUCAUUUGGUUUUUCUGUCUUUCAAGAUUCAACUGUUUUCGGUUGUUGAAUUAGAAUAAAAGGGCACUUGACAGGGCUUGCACUGUAUGAGGCACUUUAUUGUGCCUCAGGUCAAUAUGUUUAUUUUGCUUCUGUAGUCAACCUAUCACACUGUUGUCAACUUGUUAUGUAAGGGAUCUAAAUCUACUUGAUCAAAUUUCUUAUUUUGUAACUACUUCAUAUCGAACAACGGAUUAUUGGCUUUCACCAGUUGCAUUUAAACGUGAGUCUCUUUCUAGCAGGAGACAAAGACUCAUGGUUGAAUGCAAUCGAUUAUACGAUGAAUUUUCUCCUUAUCCAACUUUGAGUUAACAUUUUUCAGUCGUAUGAGAUCAUGUGCGGUACACACAGCAAAGAUCUUACCUGAACAUGUCGACAGAAAAACAAACUGAAAAGAAUAUGAAGGCAUCCUAACAUUCAUCCAAGGAUUUUCUAACAUGGUGAUCAGUGUGAUAAUACACCAGUAGCUAGCCGCGGAGUCAUGUAGAAGGCUGGUCGGAACUCAGGCCGGCCUAAUUUUAUUUGUGAUAGUCCUCUCCACGCAAUGAUCUUUGGGCACUCUAUUUGCACAAAUUUCCACAGGUCUCAAAUACAUAAAACCUCGUCCGACUCCGCCAUUGUUGACUUGAUGCACAAACUUCUUGUAGAUCAAUUUGCUUCUCGCCAAUAUCUGACACCUGCGUUUCAGUCUCACUUAUAUUGCCCAAUUCUUGUUUUAUUCAUGUAAUUGGAUUCAUAUUUCAUUUUUGUCGAUAAAGUGCACACAUGGUCAACAAGUGAUUUGUUCAAACCUAUAUGAACCUACUUCAUGGGAUCCCGUGCACUUAACCAACUUUGCCUGUUGAAAAUUCAUAGUGCUCUUCAUUAAUCAGAAGGGAGGCAAAAAUACAGCGAUGCUCUAAUGAAACCCCCUUCUGCUGUUGAACCAUCACUCCGACUAGAACACCACAAUGACGCCACAAUUACACUUCAAUGAUUUUAAAAACAACCAAAACCUCAUUUUCAAAGACCCACAUUUAACAACAAGGGACUUACAUUUCAAUUUGAUUUAAACCAAAAUUCUUAGGAUUUUGAACCAACGGUGCAACAAUAACAAUUUGAGGACCCCACAACGACACUCCAAUGAUACUCCCCAUAUUAUGAUUUGAACUAGCACAACCAUAACAACAAUCUGAUGACGCCACAAUGACACUCCAACGAUAUAUACUUCCCUUUUUAUGAUUUUGAACUAACAGAGUCACAACAACAAUUUGAUGAUGCCACAACUACACACCCCCAUUUUUUGAUUUCGAACCACCUCAGCCACAACACUCAUUCAAGGAACCCUCUCCUUCUUCAUUGCCUAACCACCACAACCAAAUUUCAAAUACAAAAAAAAUCAAAUAAUUGAGCUAGAGCAAGAUGAAACAGAGAGGGGAAGAAGAAGAAUGGAUAUGGGAGGUGGAGCAAUAAGAAGCUUACCUCCCUUCAUGGUAUUCCAAAUGUUAUUUACCACUCCAAAUGUGAUUAGUCAAGACGGCGCAAUCGAAAAAUGAAUUUGAGAGUGUUGUUGGGUGUUGGUGGUUUUUCUAUGGGUAAAUUACAUUUUAUCUCCUCAAGUUUGAGGUUGAUUGUAACCUUAUAACAUCUUUAAAACAUUUUAAUUCAUACAUUUACUUAUCAUUUUAUUUCAAUUUCAUAAAUCCGUUAGAAAAUUCGUUAAAUAAACCGUUAAGUGAUGACAUGGAAAAUAUUAGAUCCAUAUUUGUGCUGAUGUGGUUACUAAAUUUGUGUCACGUAGUAAAAAAUAAUAAUUUUUCUACGCGUUUCAAAAUAAUAAUUUAAUCAGAAUAUUAAAUACUAAAAUAAUUAAUUAAAGAAAAGUUUGAAAAAAAACAAAAGAAACCUAAAACCCAUAUCGUCCCCUUCCCCAUCCGCAGCCUCAUUCCCCACCGAUUCUCCCACCACCACCCACUUGCCCACCCGAGCCACCCCUUCUCCCGUCACCAACCCCGUCCCCCAUCACUUCCGCACGAAGCUUCUCCCUCCAGCACCACCAUCAUCCCCCAUCACCCAUCACCACCCCCUUCCCCAUCACUUCCGCAACACGCUUUUCCCUCCAGCACCACCACCAUCCCCCAUCACUCAUCACCACCCCCUUCCCCAUCACUUCCACACCACGCUUUUCCCUCCAGCAGCACCACCACCAUCCCACAUCACCACCCCCUUCCCCAUCACUUCCGCACCAAGCUUCUCCCUACAGCACCACCACCAUCAAUUUCCUCAUCCCAAAGCCCCGAGCAACCCAGAGACCCCUAAUUUUUCCCCCACCUUCAUCACCACCUCAAACCCUUGCCUUGAUUUCUUCUUCCAAGUGGUGCUCUUCAUCCCCUUCUCAUGGAAGGAAGAUCCAAAUCUGCUGGGAAAACCUGUUUUUCGAAUUCGAACCCCGAGAUUUGUUGCACAAGGACAAGAAAUCGUCUUCGGUGUGGAAUCUCCGCCUAUGACUCCGACGUCGAUUGGUGGCUCCUCGGAAUCUCCAAAUUCGCAAACCUUGCCGCCUCGGCUGGGCUCAGCAAACUUCCCCCCGAAUUCUCCAGCGGGCUGUCGAAAUUAAACUUCGCGGCGACUGCGACAAGGCCAAAACUGCGAAAACGAAUCCCAGCGAAUGCUCUGCACGCAAUCUUCUGGCGGUUUUAGCGACUCCACCUCCGUCGCGAAAGCUCUGCACGCCAAACUCGCCAGUUCAACCCGAGACCGGGCAAUCUGCACAGGAUUUUUGGGUAAAUGUUUUAACGGCACAUUUAUUUUAUUAUUAUUAUUUUUUGUUUGGGUUUCCAGAUGCCCACCCUCGACGGCGGCCAAGAAAUUGUGGAGGGAGUGGUAUCCGGCUGCUCGGCUUGUUUUAAGAUUUGCUGGAGAAGAGGAGUGGGCCCCUUUGUAUUUUGUUUUAAUUUAUUUUUGUACUUAUUUUUUAUUUUAUUUUCCACGUUAUCACUUAACAAAUUUUUUAACUGAUGUAUUAUAUUGAAAUAAAAAUGAUAAGUAAAUGUAUAAAAUUGAAAUGUUUUAAUGAUGUUAUAUGAUGUUGUAAUCAACCUAAACCUAAGAGGAUAAAAUAUAAUUUACCUUUUUUUUAUCAAUGACCAAUAAAAAGAUAAAUGAAGGGCAGUGUGGACAUUUCACAUCAAAAGUUGAUCAAAAGAACAAUUUUUAAUAAGUGUGAUAAAAAAAUACAACCAAAUGUCAAAACAUGUCUAUUUUGGCUAAUAACCCUAUAAUCUUCUAAGGUCAUAAUUGGAUCUAGCUUCCAACAAAACCACUAAACUAAAAGCUAGUGACAGUAACUCAUAAGUAAAUAUUAUUAUAAAAGCGACCAAGAGUGAUAAUAAAACUUGUCAAAAUAAAUUUAUAUUGAUAGUUGAGGUCAAAUUUGCUCCAUAUCGAAGGUCCUUAUCGAACUUGGCUUUCUCAUGCUAUUAAUUGUAGACACUUUCAAUAUUACUGUGGUGUGAUUGUUGUCACUGGCCUAUGAUGAGUCGGAGACUUAUGAGUUGAUUGGUGAAUAAGAUCUAAAAUAUGUUUUCACUAAUAUAAUAUAAAUAGGUGGUUAUUCUAGCAUUACUCUUUAUAUACAAUUGGAUGAUUCAAAUCUUUUUUGUAACCUUCUUCAUGGCCUGGAAUUAUACAACUGUUUUUUUCCCUAAUAGUUCUUAUUACACCUUUACUUGAUUUGCAUCACUUCCUUUAUGUUAAUAAAAUUAGACGAUUGCACAUGCUUCCUUACGGACACCAAAGACAACAUUUUUUUUUUAAAAACUAUUGUAGUUCCGUGUGGUUGAAUGGAUUACAGGCUUUAGGGUUUCAGGGAUGUAGCACACCCCAACUUCAUGGCACAAUCGACGUAAAAAUAUUCUGAAAAUUGCAUAUAACACAUCCACGCCAAAACAAACCUGGGGCAUUAUGUACUGAUUCCAACUUCCGAUCGUAUUUUUCGUCUCCAUCCUCCUGCAAAAAGUGAAAUCUCGUUGUAAAAAUUAAUGUAAUUAUAGUAAUCUACAUAAAACUAAGAACUAAAUAAGAUAUUAAGGUCUCGUUUAUGUACUAAUUAUUUCAAUCGAAUAAGAUAAUCUGUCAUCGAACUGUACUAACUAAAUUAGUCGAACGUUUGGUGCAUUAUCGUAGUAAUGACCGUAUUAUUUAUAAUGUGUUUGGUACCGUACUGGAUGAGAGAUCGGAUUAUAUUAUUUUUACUAAAAAAAUUUGAUGACUAAUGAAAAAAAAAUUCACAACCAAAUGCAUCAAAUUUAAAAACAAAAUAAAAAUAAUUUUGCUUGUCACUUCGAUAUUGCAUUUUCUAUUUGUCCUUUAUUUAGAGCAAGUCCACCCCUAAAGACUUUGCGUCAGCACUCAGCGCAUUUAUCCACUCAAGUGAGAUUCCAGGGAACAGUAAUAGGCCAAAGUAUCUCCACGCCUAAAAAAAUAGCCUAGUCAAUUUAUUAAAAUAUUAUUAUUUUUAUUAUAAAAUAAUAAAAACUAAUAAUUUUAUUUUUAAUUUUUUGACUUUAUAAAAAAAUAAAUAUUAUUAUUAUUAUUAAAAUACUUUUAUUUUCUCAUCUUCCACACUUCCCUUCCCUUCCAUUCCUGCACGCCAUCCACCUUAACAUAGAUAAUCCAUUCCCACCGCCGCCUCCAAACCUCCUCCUCUCAUCCUCCAACACCGUUGCCCUCCUGUCUUUCAAGUCCCAAGCCGACCUCAACAACAAGCUCCUCUACCUCUCCUGCAUCUCCACACCUCUUGUCCUUCAACACCGUCGCUUCAUCCGCCUGCAUCUCCACACCUCCGAUGUCGUCGCUUUGUCCUCUCGUCCUUUUCCCUCCAUGGCUCCUUCCGUCCCGACACCCUCUCUCGCCUCGACCAGCUCCGCUCCUCAGCCUCCACAACAACUCCCUCUUUGGCGCAAAAAAAAAAAAAAAAAAAAAACUGACGUCAUAUGCCCUCCGACGCCACGCUGACGUCAGAUGGACCUGUCCCAAUGUCUGUCAAUUUUGGGCUGGCAUGGAGACUAGCUUGGGCUGGGUGCCAGUCAAUGGAAUGGAUUGGCUAAGUGUUAGCCUUGUUUUUUGGCUGAGUGCCGACCUAACCACCUCCCGGUGGAACUGCUCUUAGGAGGCAGAUUCUCUGACCUCCCACUUUCCUUGUCCUUCGUGCCCUUCUGUUUUGUGUGGUCACGGUUAAAUCACAUUAACAUUUUAUAUUAUUUUUUUAUAGAGAUAAUAAGACAAAAAAGAAUAGUAAUAUAAAAUAUUGACGUGACUUAACCAUGACCACACAAAUAGAAGGGCACGAGUCCCUUUAUUUAAACCAAAUUAUAAAAAAUAAAAAAUCUUCCCCAUAUCUUCUCCAUCGCACCGCCCCCAGACACCCUUAGUACCUUCUCCUUACCAGUUCAAGCAAAUCUUCCCCCUCAAUACAUCUGAAACAAAUCCCAAAUUACCCAGAAAUAAGGAAACUUAAUUACUAUUAAAAAAACAAAAAAGGGGGAAAUGGGUUGUAAAAUUCGUACAGGGCUCUGCUGAAACCAUUUGCUUCGUGGUUGACAAAGAUGAACCGUCCAUAUACUGGGUUUCUGUCAAAUCGAAAAUCCCUAUCAAGAACUGUUGCUCGAACUUAGGGUCUAAUGCGUUAAAACUAUUUGUAGGACAGAGAACUUCAUGGAUGCUGCAAAUCGAAGAAAGCUCUGAAGUGAACCGAGAGAAACCAACGUCAACCUACCACCAUCAGAUUGGGCCAGUUAACUGCCGAGGUCCAUGACCGUGACCCGGAGGGUUUGGCUCAGGCACCUUCGAGUAUUCGACAUAACCGAAGAGGAAGAGGGUGCGGGUAAAGAACGGAGGGAGUCGGACUAAUAAUACGUUCCUUUUGGGGUGUAUAAUUAAGGGGGCGUAAAGUGUAAUAAAUUGGAGGAGCCGGAUAAUUAGGGAUGGCAAUGCUUAUGGCGGGCGGGUAAUCGCGGUUAUUUACCCAUAACUGUUUAUAUUCAUACCUGUAUAACUGUUUAUCCGUUAAGUAAUUGCAUUAAUGGUUAUACCCAUAUCCAUAACCAUUUAUAAAUGGUUAACUACAUCCAUAAUCGUGUAUCUAUUUAACCAUAACCAUUUACCCGUUUAUCCGUUUUUGAACCUAUUUAUCAUUUUUUUUACCCAUUUAUCUUCUUUUUUUCACCCGCUACAUGUUUUAACGAUAAAGCCAAUCUUGUGUGUAUGAUAUAGGUCAUGUGGUGAUUGACCUCAAGGCUAUAAUGGCUAUCCCCAAGGUUUAACGAUAAAAUUCUUUGGCCAAAGCCCUCCAUUCAUCAUGGACGUGUGAGACUCUUGGCCUUGAUCUUAGGUAUUGAUUGUUUUGCAGGUGCAUUUUCAUCCAAAAAACAAAAAACAAAACAAAACAAAAAUUUGCAUCUAGAGUGAGUAAAAGUGGAAAUUGAUGGAUGUUGGUGGGAAGGUUACAAAGAAAAGAAGCAUGGGGUGGUGGGCAGGUUGGGAUUUGGGUGUUAAUUGGUGGAAGUAGAUUUUUGGAGGUGGUUUUGGGAGAGAGAUUGAGGUUUAGAGAUUGUGGGGUGGAAGGAGUUGGAAAUGAGAUUUAAUUGUCGAAUUCGGUGGGGAAUUUUGCAGGAGUGGCAUUUCUUAUUGCUCUAUGUAAUCUGUUGUGAGCUUUGGAGAGAGAAGCAUAGAAAAUGAAAGGGUCUCGUAAGGUAUGAGGAGGAGGUUGUGGUGAGUUGAGUUGAGUUGAGUUGAGCGAGUCAGUUUACCUGUAAAAAGAUGUUUUUUGUUCAGAAUGAACGGAAUAUCAGAUAAAAAAUUUGUUUGUAUCAUACUUAGGGCCUUCGUAUUUAGACCUCAUAUAAAUACUCGGGAGACUUAAGUGUAAUUAUGUAAUAAAUGAAGGGGCAAAUAUGUAAUAAGUGAUGAGCCCUUAGUCUAUAAAAGGGACUCCUCACCCUCACAAUCCUCAGGCCUCACAUCCCCUAAACAGAGGCUCUCUCAAACUCUCUUUCUCUGGGGGACUCCCCUUCACCCUUGUAAUCCAUACAUACAGUUAGAAAGAAAUACAAUCAACAUCAGUGUGGACGUAGCCCAAACAUUGGGGUGAACCACGAUACAUCUUGUGUUCUUUACUUUCUUGCAGAUUCACAGUCGAAUUUACAUUGUUCCAAGACAUCUGGUUUUGUGCAUCAACAUUUGGCGCCGUCUGUGGGAAACGGUACGAAAAGUUAUGUUGGUUCUCUUUCAUUUUUUCACCUCCACCAUGAAUCUGCAAAAACCCAAGAACCCUAAGUUUUCCCAGAAAAACCUAAGAAACCAAACCCUCUCUCUCUCUCCCUCUUUCGGCUCUUGCUGUUGAUAACAAAAAGGAUGAUAAAAAAACUCUUUUGCUCUUUUCGGCCUGAUGAGCAGAACGGCGCCCUUGGCCGUUUUACACCUUGCCUCCGCCCAAGACGUGGCGGGACUGGUGUAGGUAGCCUACUCUUCGCCGCACGGGUUCACGGUCUCGGCUAGAUGCCACAGGCACUCCAUCAACGGGCAGGCGCAGACCAACAACGGUGUCGUGAUUCAGAUGAGCGGGGGAUCGUUGAUCGGUGAGGCGGAAGCUCACCUGCUCAUUUUACAAAGCUCACCUGCUCCAAUAUAUGUUAGCCAUAUAUUGCCCGUCUCAAUAACCACACUGAAAUCAAACAGCAAGUGACCCGUUACAUUAAUUAGGUUGGAGUGUUUGAAAUUUAGAAGGAAACAACCGAGAACAUUCCUCGUCCACUUCCAAAUUGCAGUUGAAAAUUCAACGUUCUAUUUGUAUUUGUACUUGUACAACAUCUUCACUGUCGUUGUUUUAUUUGGGUUCCGCGAGAAACACGACAGACAACAUGAAUGGACUUCGGAGCAGCCAUUGCCAACGAUGUCUGCAACUACAAAUCCCAAUUCUCCUCCUCUUGUCCAUUAGCCUCCUAUUCAAUUUAGGUUCGGCAGACGAGCCCUCAACUCCCAAGAACGGAGACAAAGCUUCAAGUGGGUCGGUAGCGCUCAAGGCAGUGAUUGUGCUGCUGGGGGUGGCGGCUAUCAUCGGCUUCUGUGUCUUCUUGUUCAAGAUAUGGCAGAAGAAGAAGAGAGAAGAGCAACGCGCCCGUCUUCUUAAGCUCUUUGAAGACGACGAUGAACUCGAGGUUGAGCUUGGCAUUAAGGAUUGAUGAUUGAUCCCAAUGAACACAAUCCACCCUCCAGAAAGAAAAGCAAAAGAUAUCUUGCAAAGCAACAUGGGUGGGCAGAAUGAGCGGGGAGAUCAAGAAAAGCAGAAAGCAAAAGAAAAUAAAAAAAAGCAGACAUAAUUGCGGUGGUGAUGGCAUGCAAAAAAAGGAAUUAUGGGCGUGACCCAUUGAGCAGAGGGUCAGAUUUAUUUUUGAAUGAUGUGAUCUAUUUAUCUUUCGGAGACAUCUGUAUAACCCCAUCAGAGAGUAAUAAAAAAAAAAAAACAAGCCUAAAAUAAUGGGUUGGAAUGUUAUGUGGAGGCUGAAGGCCCAUAUGCCCAAAAGAGCCAGACCCUUUAUUAUCACAAACUAGGUGAUCAAAAGUAAGUCCAGUACUCUAAAAUUAUUCGGCAGCCUACUGCUAUUAUCACCAACCAGGUGAUCAAAAGUACGUCCAGUACUCCAAAAUUAUUCGGCAGCCUGUCGUUAUUAUCACUAACUAGGUGAUCAAAAGUACGUCUAGUACUCCAAAAUUAUACAUGAGCAUCACUCAUGUCAAUCAUACAUAAACAUUCAUGAGCAUCACUCAUGUCAAUCAUACAUAAACAUUCAGGACCAUUAUUCAUGUCAACAUUCAUGAGCAUCACUCAUGUCAACAUCCAUGAGCAUCACUUAUGUCAAUCAAUGUAAACAUUCAUGAGCAUCACUCAUGUCAAUCAGCUUCGAAAGCUUCAUUUACAGAGCUCCAGCUUCAGCUUCAGCUUUCAGAGCUUCAUCAAGCUUCAAAAGCUUCAUUUUCAAAAGCUCUCAAAGCUUCACUUGCAAAGCUUCACCUACAAAGCUUCAGUCAUGCAGGGUAUAUAAAAUACCGCAUCUGAACAAUCGCCCAACUUCGGCACUAUACUUUCAUAGAAGACUUGGGGGACUACACUAUGUACUUGGGGGACUUAGCCCAUUAUUUAUGUAUUGAAGAGCGAACCCUUAUUUUAUAAAAGGGACUCCUUCACUUUCAUUAGAGAGCACCCAUUAUUUAUGUAUUGAAGAGCGAGCCCUUAUUCUAUAAAAUGGACUCCCUCACCAUCAUUAGAUAGCAUCGUUGCCAGCUAAGCAACCUCCUCGCCGCGAACAUCAACUCUAGCCCAUCACUUAUGUAUUGAGAAGCGAGCCCUUAUUUUAUAAAAGGGACUCCCUCACCAUCAUUAGAGGCAUUGCCGCCUACUGAGCAACCACCUCGCCACGAGCAUCAACUCUAGCCUAUCACUUAUGUAUUGAGGAGCGAGCCCUUAUUUUAUAAAAGGGACUCCCUCACCAUUAUUAGAGAGCAUCGCCGCCUAUUGAGCAACCGCAUCGCCGCUAGCAUCACUUAUAGCCCAUCAUUUAUGUAUUGAGGAGCGAACCCUUAUUCUAUAAAAGGCACUCCUUCACCUUCAACGCCACAAGCCGAGCCAACCAAGGCAACAUAAGCCACAAGCCAAGCAACAUCGCAACAUGUGCUACUUCUAGUUGAGCAUCAUUUCACAUUGAGCACCGCCUCAUAUCGAGUAUCAGUUCUAGACGACAUCUAGUUACUUCGGCCCACACAUGGACUAAAUUUCAAGUCUCCAGCCAAAAGACUCUCUUGACGGAAGACUUGGGGUACUACUGUUUGUAUCAUACUUAGAGCCUUCGUAUUUAUACCUCGUAUAAAUACUCGGAGGACUCAAGUGUAAUUAUGUAAUCAAUGAAGGGGCAAAUAUGUAAUAAGUAAUGAGUACUUAGUCUAUAAAAGGGACUCCUCACAUUCACAAUCCUCGGGCCUCGCAUCCCCUAAAUAGAGGCUCUCUCAAACUCUUUUUCUCUGGGGGACUCCCCCUCACCCUUGUAAUCCAUACAUACAAUUAGAGAGAAAUACAAUCAACAUCAGUGUGGACGUAGCCCAAACAUUGAGAUGAACUACGAUACAACUUGUGUUCUUUACUUUCUUGCAAAUUCACGGUCGGAUUUACGUUGUUCCAAGACCUCCGAUUUUGUGCAUCAACAAAAUUAAAAAAAUCUAAUGGCAUAAAGAAAUUUGGCUAAUUAUAAAAUUUCGAAGAUAAUCAAAUAAGAUAAAAAUUUAUAAGAGAAAUUAACGUCUUACAAAAAAAUCGACAAAUAAGUCAUAUUAAAACAACUCUCAAGGUUCUGCCGUCUCAGUUCUUGUGCUCUUCCGUGCCCUCCUGUUUUAUGUGGUUACAGUUAAGCCACAUCAUUUUUUUAUAUUAUAUUUUUUAUAAAGAUAAUAAGAUAAAAAAUAAUAGUAAUAUAAAAUAUUAACAUUACUUAACCGUGAUCAUACAAAAUAAGAAAGUACGAUAGGGCACAAAAAGUGGGAGGGCAGGAAAUCUGCCUCCCUCUCCACCCAUGCUAUCUAAUUUCACACGUUUCAACAUGCAGAAGCUACUAAAUCUGCCUCCCUCUCCACCCAUGCUAUCUAAUUUCACACGUUUCAACAUGCAGAAUCUACUUGCAAUAUCACUCCCUUGUCAUUAUCACAUCACAUCACUUUUUGUUACUUGUCAUGACCCCAUGCAUGACUAUGCAUCCUGACAAUUCUGAUCAACCCCAUGCCGUUUCCUUUCUUAUUUUUUUUCUUUUUAUUUAAACAGUCAUAACAAAAUCACGUUAAGAUUUUAUAUUAAUUUUUUUUUUAUAAAAAAACAAAGUAAAGUAGGAAAUUUUAACAAAAAACUCAUGGUACUGUUCACUUUAACGAAAAACCAUAUUUUUACACUAAAAAGUUAAUCCUGGUACUAUUUACUUUACCUUUUAUUUUGUCCUUAUUAUUAAAACUCAAAGUUUUCAAAUCAUUUUCAUUAGUUUUAUUAAUACAGUACGUAAGAAGAGGAGAGAAAAGAGAAUAAAAAGAGAAAGAGAAAGAGGAAAAUUCUAAUCCCACUGCUCCAAUCCAAUCCGAUGACAAGAAUCCCAAUCCCAUGUAAACUGCACUGCUUGCUUGGAGAUAUAAUUAGAUUUGGAUUGUCUGCUCUCCUCAUCUCAUAUUCUUCGCAUGCCUCCUAUUAUGUGGUCACAGUUAAGUCACAUCAAUAUUUUAUAUUAAUUUUUUUAUAGAAAUAAUAAGACAAAAGGUAAUAGAAAUAUAAAAUGUUAACGUAACUGAACUGUGACCAUAAAAAUAGGAGGGUAUGAGAUGGAGAGAGUAGGCAAUCCAAGUCCGAUAUAAUUUGCAUCUUAUUAUUCCGUAAAAGAAAAGACUAAGAUAAUUCAUAUUAAAAGAUAAUUAUUAUAUGAUUAAAAAUCAUAAUAUUAUUCUUUAACAAUAAUAAAAUUCUCAUCACUUUUUCAUUUGAUUGUUUAGAACCAUGCUCAAUCAAUGGUUUCGAUUGCACGGAUCGAUAGUGUAAUUUUGAGUCCAAAUAGAAACACAUAAAAAGAUUGAAAAUGCAUUUUUAUACUCUAGGGAGAAGCGGAGCUAGUAAUUUACAACAAUGGGAUCAAAAAUAACUUUAAAAAAUCGAUCACACUUUCAUUUAAAAAUAGCUUCCAAAUUGAAAACACAUCACCCAUCUCACUCAAAUGAAAGAACAAAUAGAGAUUAAAAAAAUACAUAACAAAUUUCUCUCUAAAAAAUUAGCACCAAUAUGAGUAAUUGCUAGGGCACCCUGCGGAGAGCACUAAAGCAGCAACUGCUGCCUUUUAAAUGAUGCCCCAUGUUUUUCACACUCUCUCUGUCUGGUUCUCUCUUUCAAAAUGGUAGACCCGACUGCUCUCUUAUUAAAAUGAGAGAGCUGAAUCCUCUCCGAUCAAAGGGUAUGGCAAACAGGUGAUAUAUGUAUUACAACAAAUCAACAUAAAUUAAUAGAGAAAUAUAAAGGAAAUGCAGAGUCUUUGAGGACUGAUUCUCUGGAUUUUAUGUCUUUCCUUUCAACUUUUGUCUAUAAAUAAACACACACACAAACACCCCAACUACUACCUCCACUACCACCCCACAGCUUUAUCUAAGCUGACCUCGUGCAACCCUUUUGCAAUUUUGUAUCAAACAGUUCAGAUUUCAACCUUCAAUGGCGGAUGAGGUGGUUUUGUUGGAUUCCUGGCAAAGCCCAUUUGGGAUGAGGCUAAGGAUUGCUCUGGCUGAGAAGGGCAUCGAGUAUGAGUACAAAGAUGAGGACUUGUGGAACAAGAGCCCACUGUUGCUGCAGAUGAACCCGGUUCACAAGAAGAUCCCGGUUCUCAUUCACAAUGAAAAACCGAUCUGUGAGUCCCUAUUUGCACUUCAGUACAUUGAUGAGGUUUGGAAUGAUAGGGCUCCACUCUUGCCCUCUGACUCUUACCUCAGAGCCCAGGCCAGAUUCUGGGCUGACUUCGUCGACAAGAAGAAGGUGAUAUUUACUCAUUAUUUCACUUAUUUGCAAUUUUUUUUAAUAUGUUUGGUUUAAACAAUUGAACAAUGGUGUUUUGGAUCUAUGUUCAGCGUUAAUAUCAAGGUAAAUUAUAUUUCAUCCUGAUAUUACAACCUUAUAUAAUAUCUUUAAAAUAUUUCAGUUUUCUACUUAUUAUAUUUUUUUUAAUUUCACACAAACGUUGAAAAAUCUAUUAAGUUAGCCGUUAAGUGAUGACGUGAUAUCUGUGAUUUCACAUUGACGUUGAUGUUGCUCUCUUAAAAAAAUUAAAAUUAAUUAAAGAUUAUAAAUUAAAGAUUUUUUUUAACUAAACAAAACUAAAGUUAAAAAAAAUAAAAGAAAUUAGGUUGUCAUUCUUAUUUUUUCUUCUUCAUUAAUUAAAAUCUUAUUUCUUUUAAAAUGUUUAGGUUUUAAUGAAUGUCAUUAAUUAUUUAAUAAUAAAUUAUUUACAUAUUAGCAUAAUUGAAUUAGAUUUCUCAAAUAUAUUAAUUUAGUGUUAGAAACGUUACAUUUUGUAUAUUUAUAUUUAUGACUAUACUUUGUAUCAUAUAUUUUUAUUUUUAGUUUGUACCAAAUUAUAAUUUGCAACUAUUUUUUAAAUUUGUACCCACAUAUUAAUUUCUUUUAUUGCCCUUUUCUUUAAAAAAAUUAUUGGUAGUCUAGUUUUUUUUAUUUUUUUAUUAUUGUACCUAUUCUUUUUUAUAAUGUUCCACUUUUUUAUAUGUAAAAUGUACCUUUUUUUUUUUUUUUUUAUAAUUUUUUAUUGUACCUGUUCUUUUUUAUAAUGUUCUACUUUUUUAUACGUAAAAUGUACCUUUUUUUGUUUUAUUUUAUUUUUUUGUAAAUGUACCAUUUUUUAUGUAAAAUGAACCCUUUUUUUUAAUGUAAAGUUUAUAAAUGUACACCUUUUUCAAUUUCAAAUGUAUCCUUAUUUAAAAAUAUAAAAAAACAUUUUAUUUUGUGAAAAAACUAAAAAAAUCUGAUAAGUGUAAGAUGAAUUAUUAAUCUUUGUAAGAUUAUAGGGAAAACUUAAUACCAAAAUUUAAUAUUUUGUCUUUCAAUCAAAAUAUUCAAAUUAGUAAUUUUUAGUCUAAGAUUUUGGUAUGAUAAAAUUUCAAUCAAAAUAAUGUAUCCAUGUGAAUUUUUUAACAGGAUGGAUAAAUGAUUUUGCUAUUUAUUAUUUAAUAUUAUUACACUGUUUUUAUUUAUUUAUUCAAAAAAAAAAAAUUAUUGUAGCCGUUUCAUAUUAUUACAUUGUAAUAUAAUGAGGGACUUUAUAUCUAGGACUUAUAUGCCACAUAUACACACACACACACAUACACAAAAUAUGGGAUUAUAAAUCUCAUAAGUGUCAAACAUAUAAAAUAUACAUAUUAAUAUUAAUAUAAUGAGGUUUUCAAAGUCAAGGAUGUUUAAUAAAAAAUUGAAUACUCUUAAGGUUUUAGUUAAAAAGUGUUAGGCCAUCUCCAACCGAUGGCUGGCUAGAGGGCUCGUUUUAGCCCUCUGGCCUUCCAAGAUUCUCUAAGAUAUUAAUAUUUUAAUGAACAGUACAGGGCCAUAUUUGCCUCCGUCUCCAACCGAGGGCCAGAGGGCUCGUUUUAGCCCUGUCACAAAAAACCGUCUCCAACCGAGGGCCAAAGGGCUAUAGGGUCAAACAUAAUUUAUUAUUUUAAAACUACAAUUUAAUGUUGUAUAAAUGGCCUAGGAAGUUAUACGAAAAAAAUAGAAUUGAAAAAAAAUAUGAAACAAAUUUUGUGAAAUAGAAGUUAUAGGAAAAAAAAUAUGAAACAAAAUUUGAUUCAUAUGAAAAUGAAAAAAAAAAGGGAAAAAAAGAAGUUUAAAUUCAUUAAAAAGGGAAAAAAAGAAGUUUAAAUUCAUUAAAAAAAAAAAAAAAAAAAAAAGAGGCCUAAUAAUCCAACGACUACUAGCCGUUAUAUUCAAAAGCAUUUCAAACUAUUAGUGUCGGUUAUAACCGACACUAAUAGUAGAACUAUUAAAAAAAAAAAGAAUACCUGUAAUGCUGUCGGUUAUAACCGACAGCAAUAGGAAAUCAUUAAAAAAAAAAAUAGCCAGCCCGGGGCUGGCUGGCUGGCCGAAAGCAGCCAGCCCUCCAGCCCUCUCCGAUCCCGUGGGGUCCUCCCAGAUUCCAGAGCCCUCUGGCCUAGCCCUCGGUUGGAGACGGUUUUAGGGCUAUUUUCGGCCCUCUGGCCCUCUGGACCCUUCGGUUGGAGAUGGCCUUAGUGACUAGGGAUCGAAUAUAAAGUCUCUUGAUAAAAAAUAAUUCUUUCUCCAACCACAGAGAUUUCAUUGUUGAACCUAAAUCCAGAACUCCACGAGUAUGGAGAUCCAUCAAAACAGAAGGGCAUCGUCUAAUUUAAUCUCGGAGUGGGUGAGAGAACAGACGGCGAGUCCGGGUUCGACUGGUUUCGGGUUUCAGUUUAGGGUUUGUGAUGUAUAUAUUAGAAAUAUAUAAGUAGAGGAUCUGAACUUGCUCAAGAUAAUGUACAUUAAUUUUCCUGGAAUUUUGGGGAUGUGAAAUGCAGAUAUUUCAGAUUGGGAAGAAGGUGUGGACAACCAAAGGAGAAAAACAGGAUGCAGCAAAAAAAAAAUUUCUCGACUGCAUAGGCGUGUUAGAAGGAGAGCUUGGAGACAAGCCUUUCUUUGGGGGGGAUACCCUCGGAUUCGUGGACGUGACCCUUAUUCCAAUCUAUAGCUGGUUUCUUGUGUGUGAGAAAUUUGGCGACUUCAGUGUUGAGGCUGAGCACCCAAAAUUUAUUGCCUGGGUUAAGAGGUGCAUGGAGAAGGAGAGCGUGUCCAAGUCGCUUCCCGAGCAGGAAAAGGUCUAUGAUUACGCCAUGCUUAUCAGGAAAAAGCUUCGAAUUGAGUAGAUAUUGGUGGAAGCCUGGCAAGAAGCUAUUGAUGAUGAUCAGUGUCAUUCCAACUUGUUAGGUCAUUUGGUUUUCCUGUGAAUCUGUUUUGGGUUGUUGAAUAAGAAUAAAAGGGCACUUGACAAAGCCUUCUAUUGUAUGAGGCACUUCAUUGUGCCUCUGGUCAUAUGUUUGUUUUGCUUUUGUAGUCAACUUAUCACACUGUUGUCAACUUGUUAUGUAAGGGAUCUAAAUCUACUUGAUCAAAUUUCUUGUUUUGUAACCACUUCAUAGUCAAUGAUGGAUUAUUGGUCGUCACCUCCGACUCCGCAAUUUCAUUUAGUGGUCGGAAUCAUAUCUUGUUUGGAUUUUGUGGAGUGGUAUGGGAUUCGUCUUACUCCAUAAUUUCAUUGAGUGGUCCAUAAUUGUAUCAUGUUUGGUUCCGUUGAGUAGUCUUGAACCUGAUCUUUGUUACAUUUCGUUGAGUGGUCUGAAGUUGCACCCUCGUCUUCAUUGGUCCAUUGAUUCCUUGAAAGUGGCCUAAGCUCAGGAAAUGUAGGCUUCGGUUAAACUGUGUCACUCUAGCCCUAGUUUUUAUUGCAUUUAUGAAACAUAGAUUUGUGAACUUUUGUGGUUGGUUUUAGAAAGGCUGACGGAUGUCUGUGCGACUCAUUCGGGUUUUCAACGAAUAGUUUUAUGAUUUUAUAAACAAUGAUUUUAUGAUUGAUGUUUACUAAUUAUGUUCGAUAGAUUAUCACACGUCGGAUUAUUGUCGCUCACACGAGCUUCGUAGCUGCUGGGUUGUUGAUUUUCCCGGUACAUCAUUUCCAUGGUGUAGGGGGCGAUUUUGCAAGUGGCCGAGCUUCGCUACGAGGAGCUUUGGGGUAGCAGUCAGAGGUCAAGAGCUUAGAGUGCUUAAGUUACCCCUAUAUCUUUCUUGUAUUUCUUGGACUUUCUUUGUGGGUUACUUGCUUUCGUUAUAGAGUUGUUGUAAUCAUUUGUGGCAGAACUCACCAUUUUAUUAAAUAUUGUUAAUUCCAUAUUAGUAUUUCUUGUUUGUAUUCCCUGCACCUCCUGCAGUAAACCGUCGCGUGUCAAUCCUAGACAUAUGCUGUCAGUGACCAACUUACAACAUUAGCGAUCGAAAAGUAUUUUAUGGGAAAGCGCUCGGCUUAAUUGCUAAUAGAGGGUCUGAAGGCCAUAGGCUCUUAAAGCGCUCGGAUUCGUUGUUUCAAGUUCAUUAGGCGCAAGACGGUGGAUGAUGGUGGUGGUCAGGGACGGAGUUAGAAAUUUCUUCUAGUGGGGGCAACCCGAAAAUCAACUAAGAAACUUUAUUAUAGUAUGGCUUAUACCUAAUAUGAUAAUAGAGAUGAUUUCAAAUGAUAAUGCAUCACAAUUCCAAUGUUAUAAAAAAAUUCAAUGUAGUAGUGGAAAGUGGCAAAGUCAUAAGAAAAAUAUUAAUACAUGAUUACACGGGAGAGAUUUUUUAAGUUUGAAUGACAGAACAAGAACACUUUUGCUCUUAUAAUAUUUAAUAUGGAGUAUAUGCAGUAUGAAGGUGUUGAAUAUUAGAUACAUAUAUUGUCUUCAAAGAUAACACGUGUGUAUUAUAUAAUUGUAGUCUACAACUUAACAAACGAAUCACUUGAGUGAGGGCAUAUGCCCCCAGUGAGCCUUCAUUGGCUCCGUCUAUGGUGAUGGUGAGGUUAUGGGUCAUAAACAAUAAAAUAUUUACCCAAAAAUUGAAUAAUUUCAAGAUUUUGAUGUCGAAAACGGUGACAUAAUAAAAUCCAAUUAUCGACUAUAAAAAAUAAAAAAUAAAAUCCAAAUAGAAUGAUCUCGAAUAGGGCUGGGCAAACGGGUCCUGGACCCGCGGGUAGGGGCGGGUAAUACGGGUACGGGCCGGUUCUUAGUUUUGUAAAAAUAGAAAGGGGCGGGGCGGGGCGGGUAAUUUAAGUUUUAGGGGCGGGCCGGUUCCAAAAUUAUAGGAUCCGCGGGUACCCGGACCGGCCCGUUUGUGUUAGAUUGGACGGACGAGAUUUAAUAUCAUCUCUCCAUCCAAUCUCAACCGUCGGUUUAAGUUUUCUACUUUCAACCCUAGCCAACUUCCCUGUGUCCCGACCGAGUUCCAGAAGCAUCCAACCUCAGCAACCUCAGACCUCAGUCUCUCGGAUUCUCAAAGACUCUCCUUCCUCGACUCCCUCUCCCUGAGUCCCUCUCCCUAUCCCUCUCCCUCGAAUCCCUUUCCCUAUCCCUUCCCUCGACUCCGACUCACAAUGCUCACCCCACCACUCUCACAGCGCUGUCGCGAGUCGCGACCAACAUCAUCACCCCCCAUCACCACCUCCGCCGUCGCAACCACCAUCAUCACCCCAUCACCACCGUCGAGGACACUGCUACUACUAAUACCAAGGCAAGUACCAACCAUCAUCCCUCUAAAAUUGACUAUUAAUAUGAAUUUCUGGUGUAGGGAUUUUUAGGGGUUUUAAGUUAGAAUUUGUAGAUCGAUGAUUGAGCUAUAAAAAAAUAUUCUCAAAGAUCUUGUUUUUGGGUCUCCACAAUGCCGGAAAAACGAUGUUGCUUCAUAUGCUCAAAGAUGAGGUUUUUCUUUCAAUCUCAUCCUUUUAAUCGGACUUUUUCUAAAUUUGUUGGUGGGUUUUUGGUCCUUUCGAAUUCGGUGAAAUUUGGGAAUUUUCAAUGCUUCAAUGGUGUUUUUAAUUGGUAUUUGGUUUAUGCUGAAAUUUUCGUUUUUGUUUUACAUUUAAUCAAUUCGGGGUCUGUUUGGUUGAUGAGAAAGUGAAGAAAAAGAAAAUAUGGGCUGAAGGAACAGUUUUUUUGAGAGUGUAGUUUUUAAUUGUGCAAUUGAAAAUCUUUUUUCUUUUCUUUUGUGUAAUUCCUAUGGGUUUUUUUUUUCAUUAGAUUUUCUGCUCCCAAUCCAAUAUAAGUAUUGAGUUUAAAGAUGAUAUUGAAUCACUCAAGUUUUAAUAUCAGGAAGAAGAAGAAGAAAUGAAUAAAGCAAUUUGCUCUUGGAAUUGUUUUGAUUCUGUUUGAUAAUUACUUGAUUAGCAUAGAAUUUAGUUUUCUGCUUCUGGGUUUUGUUGAUGAUGCAUUGUUGCAGAGGUUAGUUCAACACCAGCCGAGAGUUGAGCAUUGGUAAAAUCAAGUUCAAGGCUUUUGAUUUGGGUGGACAUCUCAGAUACUCAUCUCAGAUAUCUAUCUUAUUCAAUAGUUUUGUCGUAGUUCAUUCGAAAUAACUGAAUGGGUUCACAAAGGACGCACUGCUGUAAGAUGAUUUAACCUUUCCUUUGUUGUUCUUUAUUUACUUUUUGGUCAUGCCUAGUAAGCUAUGAGCUAUACCAUGUACAUACAUUAGACUUGAAUUUUGUUUGACUGUAAACGAUGUAUCAUGCAUCCCCAUAAAGAGUGUAUUGUCAUCAAGUUAAUUUAUAGCAGUAAAGUCUGUCAUAUGUGCUCAAUAAAUGCGUUUUGGAAUUUCAUUGUAUCUAGAUACUCUUUGUUGAUGAUCUUUAUACAUAUCUGGGAGCAGCCACAUCCUUUAUUCCUUUUUCCUUUUCAACUCUACCUGGAGCAGAAGGUUUAAAACUGCAUUAAAUUGCAAUCACUAUGUUAGUUUGGUUAGAUUGUGAAUUGUUCCUUUUUUCCGUUUUCCUGGGAUAAAUUGAAAACUGAAAUGCGAGGCCACUGCUAUAUCUUAGUCAUAAUCGAAGCCAACUUCUUGGUUCUUGCUGGUAUUUGCUUAGAUUUCACAUGAGUAACGGUUUAAUCACUAUGUUAGAUGGCGUCCUGUUUUCUUCAAACUUGUAUGAUUUUCCUUGCUGUUUGCAAAAUGCUGUUUCAAUGAUACGUUGCUAAAACUACCUUAUUGGUCCUUGGGCCCCUUAUUUAAAAAUGGCAUCAUUGUUGCAGAACUUCCUCAACGGCCUUUGUUAGAGAACCUUGCAAGGGAGCUCCGCCAACGAUUGGUAACCUCUCUCUCUCUCUCUCUCUCGUUGUGCAAUGGUAGAAGUUAAGAAUCGACUUUUUCUAGGGCCUUCGGCUAUUCAAUGUUGAUAUGAUUCGAGAGCAUGGGACAAAGGAUGUUUUUUAUGUCAUUGACAUAAACUACUUUAUGAUAAAAUCACUAGGUACAAAACAUUUAUAUAGUAAAAACAGAUUGCAAUCUGCACAAACUGCACUGCACAGAUUGCAAUCUGCACAACAAACUGCACUGCACUGCACAGAUUGCAAUCUGCACAAUCUGCACAAACUGCACUGCACUGCACAGAUUGCAAUUUGCACAAACUGCACUGCACAGAUUGCAAUCUGCACAACAAACUGCACUGCACUGCACAUAUUGCAAUCUGCACAAUCUGCACAAACUGCAUUGCACUGCACUGCACAGAUUGCAAUCUGCACAAAUUGCAAUGCACUGAUUGCAAACUGCACAAACUGCACAGAUUGCAAACUGCAUUGCACAGAUUUGCACAGAUUGCAACUGCACAGUCACACACUGCACAAAUUAAUAACAUGAUGAUACCUCUCAGCCUUUUUGGUCUUUUGUCGGUCAACAAUCUGUGUGUUGUGUGUUCACUCUGUUUAAUUGUGCUACCUGCUUCUGUUUCCCAUCCCAGAGAGUAAUUAUUUCGAAAUAUCUUUAUUUGAUUAAUGAAUAUAGUUCCAUUAUUUGAUUUUUGCAGAUUUUUACAUAAUGUCUCAAUCUCAAAGUCAAAGUACCCCUAGUAGUACUAAUGUAGCAUCAUCUACGGCUACAUCACCAUGUCCUCCACAACCAACACAAGCACAACCCAUACAGUCAAAACCAUCAAUGCCUCCCCCAAACCCCUCAUCCUCUAGAAAAAGAAAAGCACCACCUAUUCCAAAGACAAAACAACCAACUAUAAUAGCUUCACUAGAGAGAUCUUCUUCUGAGAGAUCUUGGGUUUGGGAUCAUUUCACUAAGUGUACGGUCUCGGAAAUGCAAGAAGUAGAAAAGGAUGGAAAGAAAGAGAAGGGGGAGGUACAAGUAUUGAAGGCUACGUGUAACCAUUGUAACUCUUUUUUUGCAUGUGAUACUAGUGGGGGUGGAACUAGUACUUACAUUAAACAUCUCAAUAAACAUUGCAAGUCAUAUAAACCAACUGAUGAGUUGCAAAAGGUUCUAGGCAGUUCUGGACCUUCUGGGGAUGGGAAUGUCAAAAACAUGCUUGUUGCUAAAGGGUUGAGCCAAGAAGAAAGUGUGGAAGGUAUUAUUGAGUUUAUUGUGCUCGAAGAGAUACCUUUUAGUAUUGUGGAGAGUGAAGGGUUUAGGCGGAUGAUGUGCAAAGUCCAGCCUAGAUUGCAUGUUCCAUCUCGGAGAACUAUGAUGAGGGAGUUAUUCAAUAUGUAUGAUAGCAUGAAAGAUCAGUUAAAAAAGGAGAUACACAAUCAUAGAGUGAGCUUGACUACUGAUACAUGGACAAGUGUGCAAAACUUGAACUACAUGGUGCUAACUGCUCAUUUUGUGGAUGAUGAUUGGAAUAUGCACAAAAGGAUUCUAAACUUUUGUUUGAUUUCAAGUCAUCAAGGCAAAGAAAUAGGGAAGAUGAUUGAGCAAUGUUUGGUUGAGUGGGGGAUUGAAAAGGUAAUGUGCAUCUCAGUUGACAAUGCAUCGGCUAAUAAGGUGGCAAUUGAGUAUGUUGUUCGUAAAAUGAAGAAAUGGCCUAAUAGUAAAAUGAUUAUGAAUGGCAAGUUUAUGCAUGUGAGGUGCUUAGCUCAUAUUAUCAACUUAGUAGUGAAACAUGGGUUGAAAAGGUUAGAUACAAGUGUGGAUGCUUUUAGAAAUGCCGUGCGGUUUGUGAGGUCAAGUCCUCGAAGGUUAAGUUAUUUCAAGAAAUGUGUGGAGAGUGAGAAGUUGGAUAGUAAGGGUCUAGUUGUUAUGGAUGUGCCUACUAGGUGGAAUAGCACAUACAUGAUGCUAGAAUCUUGCUUGAAGUUUCAAAAAGCAUUUGAAAGGAUGAUCGAAGAUGAUGAAGCCAAUAUAUACACCACCUAUUUCAGUGAAAAGGUGCUUAAUGAUGAAGGAGAAGAAGUGGCGGGUAAAGGGAGGGUUGGACCACCUAAGGAGGAAGAUUGGGAUAGUGCAGAAGUGUUUGUGAAAUUUUUGAAGGCUUUCUAUCUUAUAACUUUGAAAGUUAGUGCAAGUAAGUAUCCCACAUCUAAUACAGCUGUUCAUGAUGUCAUUGUUGUGGAAAACGAGAUUGAAAAGCUUUUUUUGCCUGAAUAUAUGCAAACUGGAAAACCGGUAGAGUUGGUGCUACGUGAUAUGGCAUUCAACAUGAGAGCCAAAUAUCGAAAGUAUUUUGGUUCAAUUGAGUCCCUUAACCAAAUAUUUGUAGUUGCCCUUGUCUUAGACCCAAGGUUCAAAUUGAGGCACUACAUGCACUUGUGCCGAAAGCAGUUACAACUUCCUGAAGAAGAGAUUGAACAGAAAAGUAAUGAAGUGAAGACAUUGUUGAAGGCGAUGUGUGAUGAAUAUGCUUUCCAAGUUUUCGGUUCACAAACACAACAAAAGGGUAGAGAAGAUUUAGUUCUUGACACUUCUUCUUCAAGGGUAAAACAAUCAUCUUCUAGUGUGCCAACGGAAAAUCCAAUGAUAUUUAAUCAAAUCAUGGAUGAUUGGGAGAAGGAACUAGAAGACACCGAGGAUAUUGUGCUUGCACAUGAGGUGGAUAGGUAUCUCCUCGACACUGUAGAGAAAGUACCACAAGGUUCACAAUUUGACGUUUUGAAAUGGUGGAAGUUGAAGGGGAGGAGCACAUAUCCCACACUUGCUUUGAUAGCAAAAGAUGUCUUGCCAAUUCAAGUGUCAACAGUUGCCAGUGAGAGUGCAUUUAGUGCAGGAAAAAGAGUAAUUCACCCUUGUAGAUCAUGUCUCAUUCCUCAAACAGUGGAGUCAUUGAUGUGCCUCCGAAAUUGGAUAAGAAGUGAACCAAUUGGCAGCAUUGAGUAUGAAGCAAGUCAUGCGGAGCUUGAAUUUUAUCAAGAGUGUGAAGAAGGUAACUAUUUUGUUUUUAAUAGUUUGGUUUAUAACUUUAUAUUAAUUGGUUUACAAUUAACGUUUGUUCUUUAUUGUAGAAUAUAAAAGAAAAAGAGCAAAUACUAUCUCUACAAGUUCAACCAUCUCACCAAGUGUUCCAAGUGUUCCUGAAACUCCUCAAACGAAUAAAGGAAAAGGAAUUGUGGUAAUAUUUUAAACUCAAAUGAAUGAACUUUAAAUUUCAAUGAGGAUAAUAUGAUAUUGGACUUUAAAAAUGUCAUGUUUAUAUUGUAUUUUUGCUUACAGAUUCAAUGAGGAUUGUUGUCGGAACUUGGGCGUUGGAAUUUGAAAUUUAUUGCGGAUGUGUGCAAUCUGUGAAAUCUGUGUAUGUGCAAACUGCAAUCUGUGAAAUCUGUGUCUAUGCAAACUGCAAUCUGUAUUCUGUGCAAUUUUUUUCAAACUGCAAUCUAUGCUUUUUUUUUUCAAUCUGUGCAAUCUGUGCACUGCAAAAUGCAAACUGCAAUCUGUGCAGUUUUUUCAAACUGCAAUUUGUGGAAUCUGUAAUUUGUGGAAUCUGUUCUGUGCAGUUUUUUCAAACUGCAAUUUGUGGAAUGUGGUAUCUGUGAAAUCUGUGAAAAUCUGUGAAAUUUGUGAAAUCUGUGAAAUUUGUUUUAUGCAGUUUUUUUUCAAUCUGUACAAUUUGUGCAGUUUUUUUCAAACUGCAAUCUGUGCAAUAAAAAACUGCAAUCUGUGCAGUAAAAAACUGCAAUCUGCAAUCUGUGAAAUUUGUGGAAUCUGUGAAAUCUGUGAAAAUCUGUGAAAUUUGUGAAAUCUGUGAAAUUUGUGGAAUUUGUUUUAUGCAUUUUUUUUCAAUCUGUACAAUUUGUGCAGUUUUUUUCAAACUGCAAUCUAUGCAAUAAAAAACUGCAAUCUGUGCAGUUUUUCAAUCUGUGCAGUAAAAAACUGCAAUCUGCAAUCUGUGCAGUUUUUCAAUCUGUGUAGUUAAAAACUGCAAUCUGUGCAGUAAAAAAACUGCAAUCUGUGCAGUUUGUGAGAAACUGCAAUUUGUGCAGUUUUUUCAAACUGCAAUUUGUGUGCAGGAAACAUUUUUAAACAGGAAAAAAAAAAAAACCUGUGUACCCGGACCGAACCGGCCCGUUUCAACCGGGCCGGGUAAGGUCCGGUUCCUAUUUUCAAAAUUGUAAUGCCCCGGCCCGGCCCGCCCCGUCUCCUUUAAUUACGGGUCCGGUCCGGUCCCUUCAAAAAUGGGCCCGGCCCGGCCCGUGCCCAGCCCUAAUCUCGAAUGUGUCCACCAAGGAAGAAAAAUAGAAUAUCUCCAUUCUGCUGUCCGUUGACUACUGCCCCUUUAGUUUUCCCUCUCAACAUUUGUCUAUAAAUACGCACACACACCAGCCACUACUACCUCCUCCACCAACCACAGCUUCAUAUCUAAGCUAACCUUCUACAACCCUUUUGCAAAUUUGUAUCAAACAAUUUAGAUUUCAUUAAUUUACUUAUUUGUAGGAUUAUUUUUGUUUUGAAACAAUUGAACAAUGUUGUUUUAGAAUUUUAAGAUUAUAAGUGCUUAGGGUGUAAUGAUUUUACUACUUAGGAUUUGCAUUAGAAGGAAAAUUAAAUGGAAACUGGAUCUCUGUUUAUGUUUUCGGGGUUAAUAUUAUGUUCGCUUUUAAAACAUAGUUGAUUAAGAUUUCAUGUCACGGUUUCGGGUUUAAGGUUUGUGAUGUAUAUUUAGAAAGAUAUAAGCAGAAGGUCUGAACUUGCUCAAAACAAUGUAUAUUAAUUUUCCUGUUUUUUUGGGAUGUGAAAUGCAGAUAUAUGAUAUUGGGAGGAAGCUGUGGACAACCAAAGGAGAAGAACAGGAUGCAGCAAACAAAGAAUUUGUUAAAGGAACAGAAAUCACUCAAUCUGUACAAGGUGGAUAGCAGGAAUGUAGCAUGUGGAUGCACAUUCCUGGACAGUUUGGACAGCUGCAUGAGGAUACCAAAAUCCUUGUCAGAAAAGGUUUGCACAUGGUGGAUGCACAACAUGGACGUGUCAGUUACAUCAUGGGCAGCAAGGAUGCAGCAAGGAUGCCCAUUCCCUUUUAUAUUUAAUUAUUGCAUGCGUGCUAUCAUUGUAUGUAUAUAUAUAUUAGCUCUUUUCAUUUAGGACAGAUUUGAAUAAUAAGAGCAUUCUUCCAUUCCAAUUUCAUAUGGUAUCAGAGCACCUUCCUGGUGCCUGAAACGCUUCCGCUCAAUCUCGUUAUUCAUCAUGAGUGACGAAGAAACUCCUAAACACAAACCACAACUCACAACAACAAUGGACAUCACUGAUCCAUUCUACAUCCAUCACUCGGAUCACCCGAGUCUACACCUUGUUUCCAAACCACUAGAUGGUGACAAUUAUUCCACAUGGAGUCGUGCAAUGACAAUCAGCCUCAGCGCCAAGAACAAGCUCGGUUUUGUGGAUGGUUCAAUAGAAGCCCCGCCAAAAACCGACGCCAAAUAUUCCCUUUGGAAACGGUGCAAUGAUAUGGUUCUCUCAUGGGUCGUUAGUUCUGUUGGUAAUGAUUUGAUGAGCAGCGUCCUAUACACGGAUUCACCUUCUGAGAUAUGGGAGGAUUUGAAGGAACGUUUCUCGCAAGGAAAUGUUUCUCGCAUUUUUCAAAUUAAAAGAGAGAUCAUUGAACAUCGACAGCGUCAACAGUCCAUAUCGGCAUACUAUACUAAACUCAAAGGACUUGGGAUGAACUAGCGUCCUACAAUACAAUUCCAGCCUGCACAUGUGGAACGAUGAAAGCGAUCAAUGAAAGAGAACAACAGGAACAGGUUAUUCAAUUUCUCAUGGGACUGGAUGACUCUUAUUCGGCUGUUCGUGGACAAAUCCUCUUAAUGCAGCCACUACCAAACAUUCGUAAGGUAUAUUCUUUGACUUUACAAGAAGAAAAACAAAGAGAGGUGGCAGAAGGUGGUGAAAGUAACACUACACAUGCCAUGCACGUAUCCAAGACCACCUGGAAUAAGUCUCGCAAACCGAACAAUGGUGGCAAGACAAACACUGGUAAGGUUUUUCAUUGUACUUACUGCGAUGGAAAUACCCAUACAGUUGAUUACUGUUUCUACCUUCAUGGCUUUCCUCCUGGCCACAAGUUUCACGGGAAGGACGUAAAGCCUCCAAACAAAACCAGGCGCGCAGCAGCCAAUAAUGCCCACAAAGAAGAAGCCAAGUCGAGCACUACCAAAGAACCUGUUGAUUUGAAAUUCACAGUGGACGAGAUCAACCAAAUCAAAGCUAUUCUUCGUGGUGAUAGUAAAAACCAGGUUUUUGCAAAUGCAGCAGGUAUACCUAAUGCACGAUGCUAUUCUUUUUCCACAAACAAUCCAGAUUCUUGGAUUAUUGACAGUGGUGCUACAGAUCACAUCUCUUCUUCUUUCAAUUUAAACGACAAAAGGAGCCCACAUUCUUCCUCCGUCAAUUUACCAAAUGGGUCACAAGCACAAAUUUCUUGCCUUGGUUCACUCAAACUCACUCCAAAUUUAGACCUAAAAGAUGUCCUUUGUGUCCCUGGUUUUCGAGUUAACCUGAUGUCAGUUAGCAAAGCUACUCGGGGAUUAAAUUGUUUGAUCAUUUUCUUCCCUACUUUUUGUCUCUUACAGGAUUUGGCAACGAAGAAGAUGAUUGGAUUGGGGAAGGAGCGUGAUGGCCUGUAUUACCUAGUCCCAGUCCAAGAAGACUUCGCCCUUCGACAGACUAAGCCUGGGGUUGUUGCUGCUUCUGCAUCCGCACCAUCCAACGUCUGGCACCAACGCCUUGGACAUCUUUCCACUGGUCCAGCCCGUGUUUUAUCUAGUUCCAUUCCUGAUAUUUCUUUUAAUUUUGAUUCUCAUUGUGAUGUUUGUCCAGUAGCCAAACAAACAAGGUUACCUUUUCCCUUAAGUUCUACUUCUAGUCUACAACCUUUCGAGUUAAUACAUUGUGAUAUUUGGGGUCCGCAUCGUUUGCCCUCUUCAUCAGGUGCUAGAUACUUCUUAACUAUUGUUGACGAUUACUCCCGAUUUACUUGGCUUUUUCUCAUGAAUUUAAAAUCUGAAACACAAGAGAAAAUCAAACUGUUUUUUGCUUAUGUCAACACUCAAUUUCAGCGUCAAGUUAAACAAGUAUGCACUGAUAAUGGUGCAGAAUUCCUAUCCAUGCGUUCAUUCUUUGCCAACUCAGGAACUGUUUUCCAACAUACUUGUCCACACACACCUCAACAAAAUGGGGUGGUGGAGCGUAAACAUCGGCAUCUCCUUAAUGUAGGUCGUGCACUUCGUUUUCAAGCAAAUCUUCCCCUCAAAUUUUGGGGAGAAAGUCUUCUCACUGCCACUUAUCUCAUCAAUCGCACACCCACCAUCGUUUUAUCAAAAAAAACACCCUAUGAAAUGCUCUACACACGCUCACCCACUUAUAUGCACUUACGGGUUUUUGGUUGCCUUUGCUAUGCUACACACACCUCCCCUAAACACAAGUUUGGUGUCAGGGCUCACAAAUGUCUCUUUGUUGGUUAUCCUUCUGGACAAAAGGGGUAUCGUCUCUACAAUCUUCACACUCAUCAAUUUUUUACUAGCCGUGAUGUGGUUUUUCAUGAACACAUCUUUCCUUUUACUCAUCAUCCUCCCGACACCCAACCUGAUGAAGUUGUGCCCGUCGUUCAUCUUCCCCUCACCGACACCAUCUCAGAUUCUUCCACCUUUUCACAAGAACCCUCAUCUCCCACCAUCUCUAGUCCAACCGCUUCUCCUCCUUCACCUGCCGUCCCUUUUCCACCAUCACCUGUGUCGCCCCUAUCCUCUCUUCCUUCUCCACGCCCUGUCAACUCUAUCUCACCACCACCUUCCCUUGGUCGCGGCCUCCGCCCCAAGCAACCUUCUGUCUUAUUGAAGGAUUAUGACUGUUCACAGGUCACCACGUCGCCUUCCACGUCCACGUCUUCUUCGCGGUCAGGUACUCACUAUCUCCUCUCUCAUUAUCUCUCUUCUUCCCAUUUAUCACCAUCUCACCAAGUGUUUAUCAAUACCAUCACUCGUAGCGUCGAACCUACUUCUUUUGCCCAGGCCAACCUUGAUCCUCGUUGGCAAGCUGCCAUGCAGUCUGAACUUGCUGCACUUGAACAAAACCAUACCUGGACACUCACUUCCCUGCCUCCUGGCAAACGUGCUAUCGGCAGCAAGUGGGUUUACAAGAUCAAACAUCGCUCUGAUGGCUCCAUAGAGCGCUAUAAAGCGCGUUUGGUUGUCAAAGGUUACACGCAAAUUGAAGGCCUAGACUAUUCUGAAACAUUUGCACCGGUGGCCAAACUUACCACUGUUCGUUGUUUAUUAGCCGUGGCUGCUCAACGCCACUGGCCCCUCCACCAGCUCGAUGUCCAGAAUGCUUUUCUCCAUGGUGAUUUGGACGAAGAAGUUUUCAUGUCUCCACCUCCUGGACUUCGUCGACAAGGGGAGAACUUGGUUUGUCGACUCCAUAAAUCCCUCUAUGGCUUGAAGCAGGCUUCCCGUCAAUGGUUUUCAAAAUUUUCUCAAGCCAUUCAACUCGUGGGGUUCAAACAAUCAACUGCAGACUACUCAUUGUUCACCUGCACUACUGCCCAUUCCAUUACAGUGGUUCUCAUCUAUGUUGAUGACAUGAUCAUUACAGGGAACAACCAUGAGGCUAUUCAACGUUUAAAACAAUUUCUUCAUCAUCAGUUUCGCAUUAAGGACCUCGGACAUCUCAAAUAUUUUCUUGGGAUCGAAGUGGCUCGUUCACAACAAGGCAUUUCUAUCUCACAAAGGAAAUAUAUUUUGGACAUACUGGACGAUGCUGGACUAUUAGGGGCAUGUCCGGUGGAUUUUCCCAUGGAACAAGAUUUGAAGUUGAGGCCAACGGAUGGUGAGUUAUUGAAGGAUCCAACCAGAUAUAGAAGGAUCGUGGGACGACUCAUUUACCUCACCAUAACAAGGCCAGAUAUCACAUUUUCUGUCCAAAAUCUUAGCCAGUUCAUGAACCAACCACGCAAGCCUCAUCUUGAAGCUGCUAUACGAGUCUUGAAAUACCUCAAAGGGACUCCAGGACAAGGUCUAUUUUUUCCAUCUACAGAUGCAUUACAAUUGAGUGGUUACUGUGAUGCUUCAUGGGCAUCAUGUCUAACGACUAGAAGGUCCGUGACAGGUUAUUGUGUGUUUUUAGGGAAAUCACUUAUCUCCUGGAAGACUAAAAAACAACAUACGGUUUCACGAUCGUCUGCAGAGGCAGAAUAUAGAUCAAUGGCUGCAAUCACUUGUGAACUUACAUGGCUUCGUUAUCUGUUACAAGAUUUACAGGUCUCCCAUGUAGCUCCAGCUCAUGUUUACUGUGACAAUAAGGCAGCUUUACACAUUGCAGCUAAUCCAGUAUUCCACGAGCGAACUAAACAUAUCGAAUUAGAUUGUCACUUGGUCCGAGAAAAGUUACAUUCAGGAAUGAUUGCAACAAGGUUCACACCUUCAAAGCAUCAGUUGGCCGACAUAUUUACAAAAGCGUUAGGAAAGGCAACGUUUCAUUCUCUUCUCAGCAAGUUGGGCAUCCAAAACAUUCAUGCUCCAACUUGAGGGGGAGUGUUAAAGGAACAGAAAUCACUCAAUCUGUACAAGGUGGAUAGCAGGAAUGUAGCAUGUGGAUGCACAUUCCUGGACAGUUUGGACAGCUGCAUGAGGAUACCAAAAUCCUUGUCAGAAAGGGUUUGCACAUGGUGGAUGCACAACAUGGACGUGUCAGUUACAUCAUGGGCAGCAAGGAUGCAGCAAGGAUGCCCAUUCCCUUUUAUAUUUAAUUAUUGCAUGCGUGCUAUCAUUGUAUGUAUAUAUAUAUUAGCUGUUUUCAUUUAGGACAGAUUUGAAUAAUAAGAGCAUUCUUCCAUUCCAAUUUCAUAGAAUUUCGCGACUGCAUCGACGUGUUAGAAGGAGAGCUCGAAGACAAGCCCUUCUUUGAGGGGGAGACCCUCGGAUUCGUGGACGUGGCGCUUAUUCCAUUCUAUAGCUAGUUUCUUGUGUAUGAAAAAUUUGGCAACUUCAGUGUUGAGACAGAGCACCCAAAGUUUAUUGCCUGGGCCAAGAGGUGCACGGAGAAGGAAAGCGUGUCCAAGUCGCUUCCCGAGCAGGAAAAGGUCUACGAUUUUGUCACACUUAUAAGGAAAAAGUUUGGAAUUGAUAGAUUUUGCUAGCUCAUUUGGUUUUUUCUGUAUUUCAAGAUUCAACCUCUUUUGGGUUGUUGAAAUAGAAUAAAAGGGCACUUGACCAAGCCUUGUACUGUACGAGCACUUUAUUGUGUCUCUGGUCAUAUGUUUAUUUUGCUUCUCUAGUCAAAUUAUUAUACUGUCGUCAACUUAUUAUGGUAAGGAAUCUAAAUCUACUUCAUCAAAUUUCCUAUUUUGUAACCAGUCCAUAUCGAACGGUAAAUUAUUGGUUGUCACCAGUUGCAUUUAAUCAUGAGUUUAUCUCUCUUAUCAAGUGACAAAGAUUCAUAGUUGUAUGCAACCAAUUAUACAGUGAAUUUUCUCCUAUCCAACUUUGACUUAACAUUUUUCAGUCCCAUGAGAGCAUGUGCAGCAGACACAACAAAGGAUCUUACGUGAACAUCUCGACAGAAAACCAAACUGAAAAGGACAUGAACUAAAAGAACGCAUCCUAACAGUCAUCAAAAGAUUUUUUUUUUAACAUCUCAUACACCAUUUUAAGGUCAGCAAGAGAUUUCGACAUGCUCUCCCUCUGCAAGCACCUAUUUGCCCAUGCAAUGAUCUUGGCACUCUGCUUCUAUGCUUAAGUUUCCACAGCUCUCAAAUACAUAAAACCUCUUCCGACUCCGCCAUUGUUGUCUUGACGCACAAACUUCUUGCAGAUGAAUUUGCUUCUUGCCAAUAUCUGACACCUGCGUUUCAGUCUCACUUAUAUUGGCCGAUUCUUAUUUCAUAACCGGUAUGAAAUCAGUCAAUAAUAUCUUCUACAUAUACAUUUUUGUUCCUGUAAUUUGUUUCAUAUUUCAUUUUCGUCCAUACAGUGCACACUUGGUCAACAACUGAUUUGUUCAUUCCUAUACGAACCUACAUCAUGGGAUCCCAUGCACAUAAGUUACGCAUGAAUUGGAUAUAAUCUUGGGCAAUCGGCUACAAUACACAUGUUUUGACAUUUGGUUGCACCAUUGAUUACACUUUCUAAAAUUGCUCUUUUGAUCAAUUUUGCAUGUUAAAAAUUCAUAGUGCUCUUCAUUAAUCAGAAAGGAGGCAAAAAUACAGCGAGGCUCUAAUGACACCGCCAUUUCGAUAUUGAACCACCACUCAGACUAGAACACCACAAUGACACCACAAUUACACUUCAAGAAAAAACAACCAAAACCUUAUUUUCAAAGAACUCCAUUUAACAAAAAGGGACUUACAUUUCAAUUUGAUUUAAACCAAAAUUCUUAGGAUUUUGAACCACCAGUGCAACAAUAACAAUCUGACGACCCACAACGACACUCCAAUGAUACUCCCCAUUUUCUAAUUUGAACUAGCACAACUACAACAACAAUCUGAUGAAGCCACAACGACACUCCAAUGAUACUCCCCUUUUUAUGAUUUUGAACCAACAUAGCCACAACAACAACCUGUUGAUGCCACAACGACACACCCCCAUUUUUUGAUUUCGAACCACCUCAGCCACAACACUUUGUUCAAGGAACCCUCUCCUUCUUCAUUCCCUAACUACCACAACCAAAUUUCAAAUACAAAAAAUAAAAAAAUUGGGCUAAAGCAAGAUGAAAGAAAGAGAGAGAGAGAGAGAGAGAGGAAGAAGAAGAAUGGAUAUGGGAGGUGGAGAAAUAAGAAGCUUACCUCCUUUCAUGGUGUUCCAGAUGAUAUAUACCGCUCCACAUUUGAUUAGUCAAGACAGCGCAAUCGAAGAAUGGAUUUGUGAGUGUUGGUGGUUUUUUAUUUUUAUUUUUUAUCAAUGAAGGACAUGAUGACCAAUGAAAAGAUCAACGAAGGGUAGUGUGGACUUUUCACAGGAAAAAUUGAUCAAAUGAACAAUUUUUUAAGAGUGGUGUUAUGCCCACCCCAAUGUCUUAUCUCCCCAUCCAUCUUAUAUUUACACCCACCAUAAAAAAAGAAAAAAAAAAUAUAAACUCUAUUCCCACCCACCAUUAUUUCCAAAAUAACCCUUGCUUUAAAAAGUAAUUAUAGUUGCCCUAUAAUAUUUUGAGGUCAUAAUUAGAUCUAUCCUCUAACAAAAUCACUAAACUAAAAGCUAGUGACAGUAACUCAUAAGUAAAUAUUACUAUAAAAGCGACCAAGAGUGAUAGUAAAACUUAUGCGAAAUACAUAUUUAUAGUCGAGGUCAGAUCUGCUCCAUGUCAAGGCUCCUUACCGAACUUGACCCAAAUUAGGACAAUAGCACAAAGGUAAAUAACUCAAAAUCAGGGGUAAGUUACACAAACUUACAACCAAGGCCCAAAAUACCCAAAGCAAAACGGGGCCAACCAAACACACCAAAACAAGCCCAACCAAAAGUUGGGACCGAAGAAAACAGAAAACUAGAAACACUGCUGCCGCGGCAGUGCUUGAGACUAUUAUAGUAAUAACUCAAAAGAAUUAAAGUAUGAGCUCGAGGUGGGUCCCGACACAAAGACUCCACCUGCUUGUUCAAUUUCGUCAACCAAAAAUUGAUAUCUUUUCCAGCAAGAAAAUAGAAUCAUUAUAAAACAAUAUAUCGUCCGACUAUUAGAACACGUAUUAUAUUAUAUUAUUACAAAUCAACAUAAAUUAACAACGAAAGCUAGGAAAUGCAGAUUUGAUGUCGAGCGCAGUGACAUAAUCACCAUCCAAUUGGAAGACUCUCGAAUAUCAUCUCCAUGUCCGGAGUCUUUGACGACUGCUUCUCCUCUGCAUUUUCUGUCUAUAACUACGCGAUCUGCUAGUCUGUUUCUACCACCACUACUCACACUCACAAUCGCAGCUUUUUGUAACCUUAGAAACUUUGUUCAAAUCUGAUCAACCUUCAAUGGCGGAUGAGGUGGUGUUGCUGGAUUUCUGGCCAAGCCCAUUUGGGAUGAGACUGAGGAUUGCUCUGGCUGAGAAGGGCAUUGUGUAUGAGUACAAAGAUGAGGAUAUUUGGAACAAGAGCCCACUGUUGCUGCAGAUGAACCCGGUUCACAAGAAGAUCCCGGUUCUCAUUCACAAUGGAAAGCCCGUCUGUGAGUCCCUCAUUGCGCUUCAGUACAUUGAUGAGGUUUGGAAUGAUAAGGCUCCGCUCUUGCCCUCCGACUCUUACCUCAGAGCCCAGGCCAGGUUCUGGGCUGACUUCGUCGACAAGAAGGUGAUUUUUACUCAUUAAUUUACUUACUUAUUUGUAGUAUUUUUGUUUUGUUUUGAAUAUGAAUUAUAAGAUUGUAAUGAUUUUACUACUUAGGGUUUGUAUUAGAAGGAAAAUUAAACGGAAACUGGAUCUCUGUUUAUGUUUUCGGGGUUAAUAGUAUGUUCGCUUUUAAAAUAUAGUUCACUAAGAUUUCAUGUUACGGUUCCGGGUCUAAGGUUUAGGGAUUGUGAAUUUGUGAUGUAUAUAUUAGAAAGAUAUAAGCAGAGGAUCUGAACUUGCUCAAAAUAAUUAUUAAUUUUCUUGGAAUUUUGGGAUGGUGAAAUGCAGAUAUAUGAGAUUGGGAGGAAGCUGUGGACAACCAAAGGAGAAGAACAGGAUGCAGUAAAAAAAGAAUUUCUCGACUGCAUUGGCGUGUUAGAAAGAGAGCUUGGAGACAAGCCUUUCUUUGGGGGGAAUACCCUCGGAUUCGUGGACGUGGCGCUUAUUCCAUACUAUAGCUGGUUUCUUGUGUAUGAGAAAUUUGGCAACUUUAGUGUUGAGGCAGAGCACCCAGAAUUUAUUGCCUGGGUUAAGAGGUGCAUGGAGAAGAAGAGCGUGUCCAAGUCGCUUCCCGAGCAGGAAAAGGUCUACGAUUUUGUUAUGCUUGUAAGGAAAAAGCAUGGAAUUUAGUAGAUUUUGGUGGAAGCCUGCAAGAAGCAAUUGAUGAUCAAUGUCAUUCCAUCUUGUUCGGUCGUAUGGUUGUUCUGUCUUUCAAGAUUCAACUUGUUUUGGGUUGUUGAAUAAGAAUAAAAGGGCACUUGACCAAGCCUUGUACUGUACGAGGCACUUUAUUGUGCCUCUGGUCGUACGUUUAUUUUGCUUUUGUCGUCAAGUUAUCACACUUGUCAACUUGUUAUGUAAGGGAUCUAAAUCUACUUUAUCAAAUUUCUUAUUUUGCAAGCACUUCAUAUCGACCAAACGGAUUAUUGGUUGUCACCAGUUGUAUUUAAUUAUGAGUCUAUCUCUCUUAUUAGGUGAUAAUGAUUCAAAGUUAAUUGAUCAAUUCUUGUUUCACAACCAUAUAGAAUCAACCAGUAAUAUCUUCUACAUGUACAUUUUUGUUCCUGUAAUAUGAUUCAUAUUUCAUUUUCGUCAAUACAAUGCACCCCCGGUCAACAAGUGACUUGUCCGUACCUAUAUGAACCUACUGUUAGAGUAUGAGUGUGAUUCUUACAGUUUAGUAAUAAUCAUUGUUAUUUUAGAUUGGUACAAAGAGGUCUUAAUGUGUUUAUAAGAGUUAAUUCAACUUUGGUUUGGAUUGAAACUCUACUGUUGGCUUGAGAAUAGAACUCAUACUUAUACAAGGAUUUGGUCUUGUAUUCCUUGUAGGAUUGUAAUAGGGCAAUCUAUGUUUAGUAUAAAAACAUAAGCCAUUGCUCUCACAAAACAUAUGCUCAAUAUUGAACUAAGACCUAUUGUUAGUUUGAGUACUUUUGGUUUUGCAAGAGAGGAGAAGGUGCACUGUUUAGAAGUCUGCUUUGGCUUCUUCUUCUGCUGCUUUUACGGGUUAGUUUGUCAUUGUGUUUAUUAAAUUGUGAUUUUAAUACUUAUAUAAAUUUGUGGUUCAUGAGCUUAAUCUCUUAACUUAUAUUUUGAUGAGUUUAAUCUUAUACCUACUUCAUGAGAUCCCCAUGCACAUAAGUUUAAGUUAUGCAUUAAUUUGAUAUAAUCUUGGGCAAUUAGCCACAGUAGAUAUGUUUCGAUAUUUGAUUGCAUUUUUUAUUACACUUUCUAAAAAAUUGCUCUUUUGAUCAAUUUUGCUGUGAAAAGUGCCCUUCAUUAAUAAAAAAAGGGUGCAACAAUAUAGACACCCAACUUCCAACGAGACCUCCCUUCGUUUUUUAUGUUUAACUACCACUUAGACAACACCACAAUGAUGCCACAACUACACUCUAAUUAUUAAAAAAAAAAAAGACUAAAAACUCAUUUUCAAAAACUUCAUUAACCAAAAAGGACUUACAUUUCAAUUUGAUUUAAACCAAAAGCCUCAGGAUUUUGAACAACCACUGCAACAACAAUAAUCUGAGAAGCUACAAACUCCAACGAUACUCCCCAUUUUAUGAUUAUGAACCCAGCACAACCAUAACAACAAUCUAAUGACACCACAACGAUGCACCUCCUUUUAUGAUUUUGAACCAACACAACCACAACAACAAUCUAAUGACGUCCAAAUGAUACACCCCCAUUUUUUUAUUUUGAACAACCUCAGCCGCAAUAAUUCAUUGAAGGAACCCUCACCCUCUUCAUUCCCCAACCACCAAAACCAAAUUUUGAAUCCAAAAACCGAAUAAUGAGCUAAAGCAAGAAGAGAGAGAGGAAGAAGAAGAAGAAUGGAUCAGAGAGGUGGAGCAAUAAGAAGCUCACCAACUUCCAUGGUGUUCUAGAUGUUCUUUGCCGCUCCAAAUUUGAUUAGUCAAAGAGGAGCAACCAAAGAAUGGAUCUGAGAAUGGAUUUGAGAGUGUCGUUGGGUGUUGGUGGGGUUUUUUUUUUAUCAAUGAAGGGCAGUAUAAACUUUUUACAGGCAAAAUUGAUCAAAAGAGCAAUUUAAAAAAAAAAGUGUGAUCAAAAGUCCAACCACAUGUCAAAACAUGUCAAAUGUGGCUAAUUGCAAUAUAAUCUUCUAAGGGCAUAAUUGAUCUAGCCUCUAACAAAACCACUAAAGCUAGUGAUGAUAACUCAUAAGUUAUAUUGGCCAAAACAUCGACCGACGACUUAUUACCAUAAAAGCAGUCAAGCAUGAUAGUAGCCCAUAUUGCGAAAUAAAUUUAUACUUAUAGUCGAGGUCAUAUGUACUCCUCGUCGAGGCUUCUGACCGAACUUGAUUUUCUUGUGCUAUUAAUUGUCGACACUUUUGUUAUUAUUGUGGUGUGAUUGUUGUCACUUACCAUUACUGAGUUAGAGACCUAUGAGUUGAUCGGUAAAUAUAAUUUAAAAGUGUGUUUUCACCAAUGUAAUAUAUAUAUAUAUAUAUAUAUAUAUAUAUAUAUAUAUAUAUAUAUAAAUGGUUUCUCUAGCAUUACACUCUAAAGAAAUUGGAUCCUCGCCGGAUCCUCUUUGUGAGGAUUUUGGGAAUCCUCAAAUCACAUUCGUUCAUCAUACAUCGUGUGGUAAAAAAUUAUUAUAAUUUUUUAUAUUUAAAAUUGAAUAUAAACAAUACUUGACAAAAAUUGACCGCACAAUAUACAAUAAAUAGAUGUGAUUUUGGUAAGUUCUCCAAUGCGAGAAAGCCACAUAACUCAAAUGAUCGAAUGCUUGAAGAUUAACUAGGCAUCAAAUGGUCAGGGGCAGCAACCACUUUUGCACUUAACAGUUCGCUCAUCUGACACUUCAUCUUCAACAGCUCCGAUCUCGGUAGCUCCAUCCUCGACUGCUCCAUCUACGGUAGCUGAGAAAUCAAAAUCAAGCAGUUUCCUUAUUUUUGGCAAGCAGCACAAGCAAUGGCCCCUACCACACCACCUCCUUGGCCCAUGCCAAGCCUACUCCUGACCCCUACCAGCCGACGUGCCGCACCACCUCGACGACUGCCCCGUGGCAGCACCUUCCAAGAAGAAGACAAUGAGAAUUAAGUUUUUCUUACAUUGGUGCGGCGUGAAGAAGACAAAGAAAUCAACGGAAGACAGUUCUUUGCACGGGCAAGCAAAGAAGAGUGCUAGGGGAGGGGGAACAAAUAUUCUCUAGUUUUCUCUCUUUCUUGUAGGGAUAAAUAAUUGCCCUCCAAAGUUGAUUUAAUCCCCUACUUAAGGUAGGCUUAAAUAGGCUUUGAAGGUGAUUUAUUUCCCUUUCCUAGAAGAAUCUAAUUCCAAGUCCAAGAGAGAAUCUACAUCAAAGUUGGAGAUCUCUACAACUACUGCCCUUUCCUGCGAGCAGCCCAGCAGGUGUGGGGGCAGCAAAAAAUAAUCAAGAGACGACACGUGGAUUUUUGGGCAGAAGGGACCAAAUUAUCCUUGAGGAGCACCAGAAUUCUUACGCGAGAGCAGUGGACAAUCAUCCCACAAUCAAGUCAAAAGUGCCCAAAAUAGUUAUUUAUUCAAAACCUAUUUCAUCCAUCUUCUCCACAAGGUAACCCCCAAAACAUUCAUUUUAAAUUAUGUUAAUUAGCCAAUUAAUAGAUUUAUUACCUAAUUAAUCUAUUAAUGGCUAAUUAAAUUACCAAUUAACUACAAAAUACACUCAAAAACACCACAAAGGGCUGGCCACCUACUCCCCCAAGGAGGCCCACCAUGCCUUAUAUGUAUACUACCCCAUUUUCUCUAAAAACCUAGGUCUACAUUCUUGCUAAAUACUCAAAAUUCUCCAAACACCACUUUUCCCUCAAAAUUCUAACUUUGGCAUUGAAGGUUCUUUGGCCAAAGAGUCCCCCCCCCCGCCCCAUUCAUCGUGGGCACGUGAGACUAUUGGCCUUGACCUAAGGUGUUAUUUGUUUUGUAGGUACAAUUUUGUUCAAGAACAAGGAGGAAGAAAUUUGCGUGUACAGACAUGACAUAUGAUUAUCUUACUUGUAAACAAGAAAAUAGUUAGGCUUUUUUCUAACGUUUUUAUGAGUGGUAUCAGAACCAUUGGGGGAGACGAAGGUUGCAGAACCAUUGGAAUUUCUUAUCAAUCUAGGGUUUCUUUCCCUUUUAAUUAUAUUUUUAAUUUUCCAAAUUUUAAUUUUUUUUUCAGUUAUAUUUUAUCUUUAAUAUUAGUUAAAAUUCACAUAAGUAUCCAUGUCAUUUAAUGAAUAAAUAAGAACCAUUGGAUGCUAUGUAAUCAAAAGGCUUAAAAAAAUGUAAAAGCAUUUGUCCCUUGAUCCUAUCUCAUAUAUAUAAUUUAUGGUUUCUCUAGCAUUACACUUAUAAAAAAUUGGAUCCUCGCCGGAUCCUCAAAUCACAUCCGUUCAUCGUACAACGUGCAGUAAAAAAUUUUGUAAAUUUUUUUAUUUAAAAUUAAAUAUAAACAUCCUGACGAAAACUGAUCGCACGAUAUACAAUGAAUGAAUGUGAUUGUAGGAUCUUAACAAACAAUGCGGAGUUUUAGGUAAAAUGACUCAAAAGAAUUAAAGUAUCAACUAGAGGUGGGUCCUGACACAAAGACUACCUCCUUGUACAAGUUCGUCUACCUAAAAUUGAUAUCUUUUACACCAAGAAUUUAGAAUUAUUAUAAGGGAAUAUAUUCAUAUGCUAUAGUCCGACUAAUAAAAACACGUAUUAUAUAUUAUUGCAAAUCAACAUGCAUUAACAAAGAAAUAUAAAAGGAAAAUGCCGGAUUUGAUGUCGAGAGCAUUGACAUAAUCGCCGUCCAAUUCGAAGAUUCUCGAAUCUAUAUGUACAAGAAAGGAAGAGAGCUUGAAUAUCUCCAUGUCCGGAGUCUUGGACGGCUGCUUCUCCUCUGCAUUUUAUGUCUAUAAAUACUCAAGGGGUGUGCUAUCCACACACCCCAUUUUACUUCUCACACACCUCUUGAUGAUUUCUGUCCGUUGAUCUUCUUCAAUUCAUCCGAUCUGACGGCCGAAAAUUAAAAAGGUGUGUGAGAAGUAAAAUGGGGUGUGUGGAUAUCACACCCCAUACUCAAUCUGCUAGUCUGCUUCUACACGCACUACUCACAGUCACAGUCACCGCUUUUUGUAACCUUAGAAAUUUUGUUCAAAUCUGAUCAGCCUUCAAUGGCGGAUGAGGUGGUGUUGUUGGAUUUCUGGCCAAGCCCAUUUGGGAUAAGACUGAGGAUUGCUCUGGCUGAGAAGGGCAUUGUGUAUGAGUACAAAGAUGAGGACUUGUGGAACAAGAGCCCACUGUUGCUGCAGAUGAACCCGGUUCACAAGAAGAUCCGGGUUCUCAUUCACAAUGGAAAACCGGUCUCCGAGUCCCUCAUUGCUCUUCAGUACAUUGACGAAGUUUGGAAUCAUAAGGCUCCACUCUUGCCCUCUGACUCUUACCUCAGAGCCCAGGCCAGGUUCUGGGCUGACUUCGUCGACAAGAAGGUGAUUUUUACUCAUUAAUUUACUUAUUUGCUGUAUUUUUGUUUUGUUUUGAAUAUUUUUGGUUUGAAACAAUUGAAAACAUGGGAAAUAGAACAUCUGGUUAUAUUUUUUAUGUUUAAAUGUUGAGAGUAUCUAGCAUAAGUGCUUAAAACCUCACGCGUUGCUAAUUCAUUUUUGGUUAAAUGCUUACGGAUAUUUGAGCUGGUAAUUAAAACAAUGUUGUUUUAGAAUUUUAAGAUUAGAAGUGUUUAGGGUGUAACGGUUUUACCAUUUAGGAUUUGUAUUAGAAGGAAAGCUAAAUGGAAACUAGAUCUCUGUUUAUGUUUUCAAGGUUAAUAUUACGCUCGCUUUUAAAACAUAGUUAAUUAAGGUUUCAUGUUACAGUUUCGGGUUUAAGGUUUAAGGUUUGUGAUGUAUAUUUAAAAGGGGAGACUUUGGAUGCGGUCCCUAGUUAUGAACAAUCUUUGACUGAAACCUUAUUGGUUUUCAAUUUUUGAUCCAAGUCCCUGAAAUUAAUUGAUAAUUUAUUUCUAUGUACGUUACUAUAUUUUUUUAAUUAAAAAUUAAAAUUUAUAGUUGUUUAUAGUAAUGAGAUUUAAAUAAAAAAACCAUAAUUUGUGGGAUUAAAAAAAUAUAAAAAUAUAAAUAUACUAUUGUGUGUGUGUGUGUGUGUGUAAACAUGGGUACAUUCAUAAAAAUAACCAAAAAAUUAUUGUAUCAAAACAUGGAUACAUUCUUCAAAAUGGGUACAUUUAGCAAAAAAAAAAAAUGGGUACAAAUAAAUAAAAAAAUAUAUGGGUAUACAAUACAAAUAAAACUUUAAAAAAUAUGGGCACAAAAAGAAUUUAAUAUAUGGGUACAAAUUAAAACUGAAAGGAAAAUUGGUACAAAUUAAAAAAGGGUUGCAAAUUAAAAAUGGGUACAAACUAAAAAUAAAAAAUAUAUGAUAAAAAAAUUUAGCCAUAAGUAAAUAAAUACUAAUUGUAACAUUUUUAAUAUUAAAUGAAUAUAUUUAGAAAUAAAAAAUAUUUUAUUAUUGAAAUAAUUAAUGAUAUUAUUAAUACAAAGGACCUUGAUCAAAAAUUGAAAAGUAAUAAGGUUUUAAUCAAUAGAGUAGUAAAAAUAAGGAUGAAAACCUAAUUACUCCAUUUAAAAGAUAUCAGCGGAAGAUCUGAACUUGCUCAAAACAAUGUAUAUUAAUUUCCCUGAAUUUUUGGGGAUGUGAAAUGCAGAUGUAUGAGAUUGGGAGGAAGCUUUGGGCAACCAAAGGAGAAGAACAGGAUGCAGCAAAAAAAGAAUUUCUCGACUGCAUUGGCGUGUUAGAAAGAGAGCUUGGAGACAAGCCUUUCUUUGGGGGGAAUACCCUCGGAUUCGUGGACGUGACGCUUAUUCCGUACUAUAGCUGGUUUCUUGUGUAUGAAAAAUUUGGCAACUUUAGUGUUGAGGCAGAGCACCCAGAAUUUAUUGCCUGGGUUAAGAGGUGCAUGGAGAAGGAGAGCGUGUCCAAGUCGCUUCCCGAGCAGGAAAAGGUCUACGAUUACGCCAUGCUUAUAAGGAAAAAGCUUGGAAUUGCAUAGAUUUUGGUGGAAGCCUGCAAGAAGCUAGUGAUGAUCAGUGUCAUUCCAACUUGUUUGGUCGUGUGGUUGUUCUGUCUUUCAAGAUUCAACCCGUUUUGGGUUGAUGAAUUAGAAUAAAAGGGCACUUGACAAGCUUUGUACUGUAAGAGACACUUUAUUGUGCCUCUGGUCGUAUGUUUAUUUUACUUCUGUAGUCAACUUAUCACACGUGUCAACUUGUUAUGUAAGGGAUCUAAAUCUACUUGAUCAAGUUUCUUAUUUUGUAACCACUUCAUAUCCCACGAUGGAUUAUUGGUUGUCACCAAUUGUGUUUAAUUAUGUGUCUCUCUCUUAUCAGGUAACAAAGACCUAAAUUUAUUGGUCAAUUCUUGUUUCAUAACCGUACAGAAUCAACCAGUAAUAUCUUCUACAUAUACAUUUAUGUUACUGUAAUUUGAUUCAUAAAUCAUUUGUGUCAAUACAGUGCACACUUGGUCAACAAGUGACUUGUCCGUACCUAUAUGAACGUACUUCAUGAGAUCCCCGUGCACAUAAGUUUAAGUUUAUGCAUAAUUUGAUACAAUCUUGGGCAAUUAGCCACAAUAGACAUGUUGCGAUAUUUGGUUGCACUUUUGAUUACGCUCCCUAAAAAUUGCUCUUUUGAUGAAUUCUGCCUGUGAAAAGUUCAUAGUGCCCUUCAUUAAUCGAAAAGGGUACAACAAUACGACCCCCCUCCUCGCCUUUUGUGACGUUGAACCACCACUUAGACAACACCACAAUGAUGCCACAACUACACCCCAAUAAUUUAAAAAAAAAAAACAACCAAAAACUCAAUUUCGAAGAACCUGAUUUAACCAAAAAGGACUUACAUUUUAAUUUGAUUUAAACAAAAAGUCUCAGGAUUUUGAACAACCACUGCAACAACAAUAAUCUGAGAAGCUACAACGACACUACAACGAUACUCCCCAUUUUAUGAUUUUGAAACCAACAUAACCAUAACAACAAUCCAAUGACACCACAAUGAUGCUCCUCCUUUUAUGAAUUUGAACCAACAUAAUCACAACAACAAUCUAAUGACGUCCAAAUGAUACAUCCCCAUUUUUUUAUUUUGAACCACCUCAGCCGUAAUAAUUCAUUGAAGAACCCUCACCUUCUUCAUUCCCCAACCACCAAAACAAAAUUUCGAACCCAAAAAUCGAAUAUGAGCUAAGGCAAGAUGUGAGAGAGAGAGAGAGAGAGAGAGAGAGAGAGAGAGAGAGAGAGAAGAAUAAGAAGAAGAACGGAUCAGAGAGGUGGAGUAAUGAGAAACUGAGUCUUGUUGGGUGUUGUUGGUUUUUUCAUCAAUGAAGGGCAGUAUGGGCUUUUCACAUGCAAAAUUGAUCAAAAGAGCAAUUUUUAAAAAAUGGGAUAAAAAGUGCAACCACAUAUCAAAACUUGUCUAACGUGGCUAAUUGCAAUAUAAUCUUCUAAGGUCAUAAUUGAAUCCAACCUCUUAACAAAACCACUAAAGCUAGUGAUGGUAACUCAUAAGUUAUAUUGGCCAAUACAUCGACCGACGACUUAUUACUAUAAAAACAGUUAAGCAUGAUAGUAACUGACACGCCCUGAUCUUGAUGUCCGAGGGACAUUAGGAUGGUCACGUGCUGGUCGACACCCGAGGGUGACGAAAGCCAUUUAAUGAAUGCAUGUGCUAAGAACAUGUAAAACAUGUGUAUAAAUUUUGUGCGUGACUAUGCAAGUAAUACUCAAAUAUACGUCUUACAAAAUACCGUAGUAAUAUUCAAUUGCCAACAAUGAAUAUAAUGCUAAUGCUUGACAUGUUCAGAGCAUACAUGUAAUUCAUAGUACAAGCGGAAGAUAAAAUAGAGAGGUGUUAUUACAAUAGAAGUCAAAGUAGAGAGAAUGAUGCGGUAUCACUGGUAGGGGAAUGUGUCGUAUGUCGGAUCGUAUUCCUCGUUCCUAUGUCCUGAUGGGGUGCAAAACAACCAUGAGUGGACUAAGCUGAUAUAUAUGUAAUAAAAUAGUUAUUCAACAUACUAACCCCCAAAGUUUUAGGAAAACUAAUAGCAUAAUAGGUGAUAGAUUUGCCGAAAACCCUAGCUUGCCAUAAGACCUUUCAUAAAACAUAUAUCGUAUAUGGUAUGCUAACUAGUGGUAUCAGUAUCGCCCGAAGGCAUAUAGAACUCUUCCUUCACAAGUAUCAAUCACCAGUAGGCUCAUACAGCACCCAACCCGAAGGUCAAUAUAAGUAUCAUCGGCCGUAGGCAGGACAGUGACCACUAGAUAUGCACAAAAGCAGUGAAUAUACUCUUUCCAAACAUAGGUACAUAUAUCUCAAAAUCAUCUUCAGAGUAUAAAGUCAUCCAUCAUCUAUACUAUAAAGAAGUGAGUGAAAGCAUGUUUUAAAUAGUAUAUAGUCAUCCAUCAUAUACACUACAAAGAACAUCAGUUCAAUAAAAUAUGAUAUUUCAAAAUAUUCGCAGUAAGCAUAAUAUCUCAUAAAAUGUUUCAUAAAAUGUAAUCAUUAAAUCAUGCUUUUCAUGUAUGUAUUUAUACUAUUAAAACAUGCAUUUUAGAAGGAGUCUACUCACAGAUACUUUGUUGUCAUAGAGCCGUAAGAAAUAAGAAAGAUGAAAUCGCUGUUAAUAAUUGCACCUAAGCAUAUAAAGGGUACAAUUAAUAAAACUAUACUCAAAAGAUUGAAUUUCAAAAAAACGGACGUCAUAAAACCUAAAAGGGGACCUCGGGUACCCCUACGUGCCUCACGCGCCGCCGUGGGUCGCUGAAAAAUUCGUCGGCACCGGUGCCCCUUCACACACAGGCCCACACGCCUUCACUCGUUGCCUGGGGUUCCUAGGUUCUCUGGUUUUGGGCCUGAGCUUUGGGCUUGGGUCGAACGGUUUCUAAGCUUAAAAGAUUGGGCCUUAUGGGCCGAAGGCCUAAGGGCUUGGAGUCCAAGGGUUUUCAAAAGGGUUGGGGUCUUAGGGUUAACGGGCCAGAGGCCCAAUUUCCACUCGGUCUCAGCGCCGGUUCUUUGGGGUUUUUGGGUUAGGGUUUCAAGGGAAUUGGGCUCAAAUGCAACAACCCAAAGACACAAAUCUACACAACCCUAAGGGCCUGGGUUUGGUGGGUUAAUGGGUUGGGCUUUAAGGCCCGACCCAAAGCUUUUGGCUAAAGGACUUAGGCUUGGGGUUUUGGGUCUAGUCGACCCAAUAGCCUGGUUUCGACGGAAAAAGGAAGCCGGAGCUUCCAAAGCUUCGAUCGGCCUCGAUCUUCUACUCUAGAUGCAAUAUACCAUCAAAUGGUGGCCGGAGUUGGCCGGAAUCUGUGUUCAAAGGUCACGGGCUCGCCGAGGAGUUUUUGGGUGGACUUUGGGUGUCUCGUGCUUCACAGAGACGAGGGAGAGAGAGAGGGAGAGGGAGCCAACAAUGGUGAUGGUGGUGUACACGUUGGGGAUGUUUUGGGGUGUGUGAGUGUUUCUGUGUCUCGUCGGAGAGAAGAGAGGGUGAACUGUGAGAGAGAUCCAAGACUGAGAUAGAGAGUGAAAGUGAGAGAGAGAGCUUGGGGAGAGGAGAGAGAAAGAGGUAGUGGGUGAGUAGUUGCCACGUGGCAAGCAGAGAGAGGUGGAGAAGUUUAGAAAAUCUGAAAAAUAGGAUUUUGAUUGGGUAAGGAUAGGGGACUAGAAUGUAAAUUUCAAUAAAUCUUUAGGGAAAUUGUGAAAUUUACAAUAAUUUGGGGGUGGGGUUUAAUAGUAACCCAUAUUGCGAGAUAAAUUUAUUCUUAUAGUUGAGGUCAUAAAUUUAUUCUUAUAGUCGAGGUCAUAUCUACUCCUCGUCUAGGCUUCUUGCCGAACUUGAUUUUCUUAUGCUAUUAAUUGUCCAUACUUUUGUUAUUAUUAUGGUGUGACUGUUCUCACUUACUUUUACUGGGUUAGAGACCUAUGAGUUGAUUGGUGAAUAUAAUUUAAAUUUGUGUUUUUCACCAAUGUAAUAUAUAUAUAUAAAGGUUCUAAAAAACGCUAGGCGUUAGUCGGGUGCCGGGCUGGCGCCUAGGCAAGUUUAAGUAAACUUCUUGUAUAUCUUCUAAAUAAGUGCAUAUUGACACUGCAUUGAACUUGUAUAUCAUGCAUCCAAAUGUAAAAACAAAGUGUUAAAUGACAUAACAAGUUCAAUAUGGCAUCACUAUACACGUGUUAAAUGAUAUAACAACUUUCUAAAGAUGUGCCAUAUUUUGUAUAUCUUGUUUAUCACUAGGCAGAUUUAGGUAAUCCUCCCAACCUUCAUAUUUAGUUGACUAAUACAUCAACUCUUUAUUAAUUAAAAUACUAAAUAACAUAACUUAAAUGAACAACAACUAAAAAAAAAAGAAAAGCAAAAUACAAGAAGUAAAAUACAUAUUAACGUAAGAUAAUAACUAAUAUUAAACCCUUGAAAAUGGAUAAACAUAUUUAACACCAGACUCUCGAUACCAUUGCUACAAUAACUCUUGGGUAUGAAUAUUAUAUUAAUAUUUAGAAAAUAGAUUACUUUAGUCUAAAUAAGGCUUUUCAAUUGCACUAUACAAACGAACAGUGUUUUGAACCACAUUUCAGUUUAUUUACAAGAUUGCCACUCGAAUGCUUUUAACCACCUUUCACUUAAUUUACAAAAUUGCCACUUAGGCUUAAAAACCUAUUUUCAGCCGUUGUUUGCAUUUAAUGUUUGACUCAAUAACAGAGAGGGGAGGGGUACAUCACGCCUGACAAAUUGGAGAGAGACAAUCGCUUCCAUUUUUUACUCGAAGAUAGCUGGGUGUGCCUCUGGCGAGCGGAGAGAGGGGGAUAGAGCGACUACAGAGGAGGGAGACACAGAGCCUGACAAAUUGGAGAUAGAUGAGAGCUACGGGUAUGGACUGAGUGAGAGAGAUAUUUAGGUAGGUGCUCUGCCAGGCUCUUUCUGCCGCUAAUCUUGAUGCACACGUGUUGAUGAUCGUGGGAAGGGAAGAACGGUGGUAAAGUUGGCAUUUUCCAUUUCCUUCUCAAACCCUCAUUGCCUCUUCCGUCUCGUAGACCUUGCGAGAAUGACGGUCUCGCCUCCAUCCUAUCCUCGAGUUGUCGCCGUCUCUCUUCUUUAGGUAGGGUGUUGUGCGUGUGCGGUCAUGCUUGAUGAUCAUGGAAGCCAGUGAUUUAGCUUUUCUAUGACAUAGCCUCGACUCUGCUUCCAUCUCCAUUUUCUCUCCUCGCCUUGUCUCUCAGAAAUCACCAACAAGCUUAAAAACCACCAAGCCGUUAGAAAUCUCUUUGAUUCUCUCUCAGAAACUACGAAGCACAACGACCUCUUGUUGAAAAACCGUGAAAUUAGUCCCACUUCGAAGGAAAUUUUAAGCCCGUAAAAGCCUUGGUUUCCUGGUGAGUUCUCCAGCCGAUUUGGAGUGGGUAAUUUUGUGAUUUGCAGUUUAUUUUGGGAAAUGAUUGACGGGUUUGCAGUUCAUUUUACCAUUUCUAGAAUAUUUGCAGUUUAUUUUGGGGGUUUACACUAAAAUUAAGGAAGCAUAUAUGAACGCAAAGGCUCGAGGAUGUACGACAACUUGGAUAUGAUAGGGUACAAGCUAUGACAUUUUUGCAAAUUCAGUUUUUUUUCUUUUCAUUUUAGGGGUUUUUUUUUUUACUAUUUAGUUUUUGGGUUUUGUCUAAUUUUUGUGGUCUGCUUUAUAGAUUGUUCUCUUUGGAAGCUUCUUUCCAGCCUUGCGCUUCUUCUUGCCUGGUGCCUUCUCAUUGAAUAUUGGAGAAUUAAACCACAUGUGUGUGUGUUUUGUCGAUGUAAGAGGAGAACGACAUAAGAACAUUCAUCUUUAUAUAUAUAUAUUGUGCUUUUUCUAACCCAUCAAUUUCUUUUGAGUCAACCAAAUAGUCCCAACUUACAAUUUAUGUUGUGAAGUAUAAUUGUUUGAAAAAUUAAGUAUGCAUGUAUAUUUUAUGUAAGCAUAAAUUUAAUGAUUUACAAAAACUUUUAAUUGUUCCAUCCUAAAUAUCUUCCUUUAUUCUUGAUGCCAUGCUACUUGCUCGACCCUUUCUUGCAUCAGUUGUGUCACCUAAAAUUAAAAUGAAAUGAAAUAGUUUCCCUAAAUGCUUAAUGUUGUGAAUGCUCUAUACUCAUGUGUUUUACAGACGCUCAGUUCAAAAGAACUAGUUGCUGCUUGGGUGAGAGGUGUAUAAUUUCAUUAAAAAAAAAAAAAACUUUUUUGGUUGUUGGUGGUGGUUUAUCUGUAUUUGAUUGGUAAUUUCAACAUUUGAUGAUUCAAUAAUAUUUUGAACUUCCAUUUCUAUUGUCAGAAGAUAACGUCUCCAUCUCGAUUCUGCAUGAUCAAAAUGUACGUUUGGCUAAGACAUCCAUGCUUUUACAAGUAGAGAGGAAGCUGCAAUUAGAAACAACGUUGAGUGACAUUUAAGUCUUCAUUUGACAAAAAAAUAAAAAAAAUAAAAAAAUAAAACAUAAAAACUUGGAUUCUGAUAUCUAUAUUUGUUGUUUUAUUCUAUUGACAAUUCGUUGUUGAUUGGUUUUGUUGCUUUCCUCCACUUCUUAACUCAUAUUCAUUAAUCUACCUAUUUUAUUUGGGUGAUAAGUUCACUCUUUUAAUCUUAUUAGCUAAAUGAAGAUAUAGGGUGUGGUUUUGUUAAUGGCGGUGGAUGAUCUGGAUGAAAGUAUGUAUCUUGGAGAUUUUUUUGCUUACAUAUGUUUAGGCCCGGAUUGAAGAAGUUUUGUGGAAUGAGAUUCUUAUCAGAUUCUUAUACAAAAUUGUUUCUCUGUUUAUGGCAGGUAAUAAAUGUGGUCCAACCAAUGGCUGAUAAAAUGUCAUUGUAUAUAUGCUUUUGUCGAUUUCUGCUACGAUAAUGAGGGAAUCCAGCGGAUCGAGGCCAGUCGAUCUGAGGUUUGUGCUCCUCUAUCCCUUUCUUUCUCUCUUUCUGUGAAUUUCUUGAAAUUGACGACGCACGUUCUGAUUCUUGAUGUGUUUGGGAGAGGAGAAAGCUCUAGAUUAGCUUUGAUCACUUGAAUUUUUUCUUAUUUAGUUCAGCACAGUCGGACUACAUAAUCCUACCAUUGGGCUAUUUCUAGGGAGGGUUUAUGUUUACUUUUGUUAGUAUGUUGACAGUUUGGUAUGUCUAUCAUAUUGAUGGAACUAAAUUGUGAGUUAAUUAUCGUUUAGGUUGUUAAUAGUGUUUGUACAGUUAAGACAACAUGUGUGCUUUAUGCAGAAAGUUCAAAGGUUUCUGUUCCUGGCUUUAGUUUUAAUGUCGAAUAAUCAUUGUUUGAUUACAUUGUAGUAUUAGUAUGUUAUCUUAAUGAUUUCAUAUGCUUCUCUUUACGUUAAUUGUGUUGGAUUUCUACAUUUUUGGCUUUUGUUUUCUUUAAUUAAAUGAAGUUUGUAAUGUAUUUGGACAGGUACCAAUCUUCUUAAUGAAGAUUAGAGCAAUCAAAUGGAGCUUCAUAGGAUAAGUUUGUGAGGGUGAGUUUUUUUUUUUUUUUUUUUUUUGUUACUGUAUUUUUCUCCUUCGUGGCAUGCUUCUUGAUGGUUUUACUUUUACUUAAGUCUUCAUUUCGGUUCCUUGCCCAGGUUAUACAAAACUCAGUUGGUGUAAACCUUGCUGUAGAUGUAUGGAGUCUUGGGUGCAUUGUCUUGGACAUGGCUACGACAAAAACCACAUUGGAGCCAGUAUAAAGGGGUAUGAAUUUAAAUCUGAAACGAAUACUUUUGUAUAUUUGGUUUUGUAGUUAAUUUCACCUUCUGGGUUUAUGCUGGGUUUUAGUACAAUUUUAAAGGGAGAUAUAAUCCGGUGAGGUUUCUCAAGUCCAUGCAGAAGGCAGGGCUCUAUGCUCACCUUCGCAUUGGCCCUUAUGUUUGUGUUGAGUGGAACUUUGGGUAAUUCUUUUUCUCUAGAUCUAUAAUUUUGGCUUUUUUUCUUUCUUAUUUUUUAGGAUUUUCCACUCUCAUUCUAUUUUCCUCUCCUAAUUUUAGAAAAAAAGUAUUUAAUUUCUCUGAUUGUGUGGUUUGUAGGGGUUUUCCUAUUUGGCAUAGGCAAGUUUUGAUUUUUACUUUUCUUUUUUCUCACAGGGGGCUCUCGGAGAAGCAUGUAAUGGAGACACCACUUCUGUCAUUAUCUUUGGAAGUAUUUGAUGGUCGACUGGAUGAUCCUAUUAGCGUGUCCAUCCGAGGAGGUUUGUAUUCAUCUUUCCACUUUUUUGGGAAAAAUGUUUAGAAAUCAUAAAGAUGCUUUUGAAGAUAGGUAAGCAACAAUUUCUAAAAUUUUAGUGUAAUCUUUUUUCAUUAUGAAGUUCUUCUAAUGGUAAUUAGUGAUUUCAAACAAAUUCUGUGAAGUGAAAAGUGAAAUUUUGUAUGUUUAUCAUUCCAAUUUAUCUUUAUGCAGACUUUUUCUGUUGAAUGGAAAACAUACGUUUUUUUGUCUUUGUUUUUUUAUUUUUUAGUUUAUUGGUUGAUUCAUUUUAUGAUUGUUGAUAUGCAAGAUGCAAAGAUAAUUUCUUUGUUUCUAUAUAUUGUUACUAUAAGGGGUGGUUUGGGAGUGAGGUGCUUAAAAAAAAUGCACCCAUGAAAAAAAGUUGUUAGGGUUUUAGGUGUUUGGUAAACUAAAAAAAAAGGGCUUAUUUUGGAAGCUGUUGUGAGAAUAAGCUGAAAUCCAAAGGAAAAGCUGAAGCAUCUAUUUGCAGCUUUGGAAAACUGGUUUUUUUUUCAAAGCACACAAAGCUACAUUGCUCCUUUAAUGAAAAGACCCACUAUCAGACUGUUUUUUUUUUCCAAAAGCACUUUUACAAAAAAGUUUACCAAACACUCUGCUGAUUUAUUUCACAGCCGCUUAUUCUUACAGCACAGCUGCUUAUUCUCAUAACAGUUUUUUUUCAAAGCACAGCAAUACCAAAUCAGCCCUAAUUCUACCAAUAGAAACCGGUACUGUGAUUGUGGCAGUAAAUGAACCUAGUCAUUGUGGCAGUAGAUGAACCAUAACCAUGCCAGUUUGUAGCCUGCGAUUCUACUUGUGGUGGUUUAAUUUAGUUCUGUUUUCAGUUUCAGGAGAUCCUGAUUUUUCGUUCUUUGGGCCUUUGUUUGCAGCCUUCAAAGCCGUCUCUGCUCACGCCUUAUGAUUGUAGUGGUAAGCUUCCCUUUCAAAAAUUCCUUCCUUCCAGUAUUUAGGGAUUAUGAAGUGAUUUCUCUGCUUAAUAUGGGAUUAGGGUUACAUUUUUCUUAUAAUAAAAAUCUUUGUAUGCUACCCGGAAGCUUCCUUUUCAAAGAUUCUUUCUUUCCAGUAUUUAGGGAUUAUAAACUGAUUUCUCUGCUUAAUUUGUUCCAAAGUAUAAUGUAGAGAUUGCUUUAAUAUAUUGGCUUAUUGGCUGUAUGUCGAGUGUCUGAGAUAAGAUUUAGGAGAUCUAGUUUAGGUUUUGCAAAGAGAGAGAGAGAUAGGGGGUGUCCGAAAGAAAUGUGAGAGGGUUUAGGCGAGGGAUUUCAGGGAUUUGUUUAAGGUUCCUUUUCUGCAAUUUGCAGACAGAGAAAUGGGACAAGGGGGAUAGAGAGAUGUGAGGAUUUUCUGUGAGGGUAAAUGGGCAUUUCGUUUUCCAGUUGCUUCUUGAAACCCGAGAGAUUUCUACGAUUGUAGAGAGAGAUGGGGGUGUCCGUUAGGUGCCCUUUAAUUGUCACUUUUGUGAUUUGUCCAUCCUUGAUUGUUGUGUGAUUCAUUCUCAUGAAUGUUCUAUGCACAAGGUUUCAUAUUAUUCCUUCCUUUUGAUUUUGAUAUUGUUGUGCUUAAUUUCUGUUAUGUUUUAUUGGGUGAUUAGAUUAACAGACAUUGGAUAUUUUGGUACAAUAAUUUCACAUCAUGUGUUACCCUUUUGCAUCACCUUAAUUGUUCGUCACAUGCUAACUUUUAAUUAUGUUUUCUUUGGGUCAGUCUCUAUCUGGUAAAUUUGUCCAUCCUUCUGGAGUGGAGCACUAUCUUUCUGACAACAUAACUGCUCUGAGAAACUGCUAUGGAGACAAACAGUUGUUUACUCCGUUGUAGGUAUGUUUUUCUUAAGUAUUUUAGAAGGAUUCUUAACGCUUCCCCAUUAUAAUCUUAACCUUUGUAUCUAUCUCUCUCAAAAGACGAUGAGAGUAACAACUGUUGAAAAGCAAAUUCUCAAAUGUAUCUAAGCUUAUGCAUACAUUGGAUAAAAACUGAAUCUUAAAUUAGGGCAGUGAGUUUUGCAACAUCCUGGUGCUGCAUAUAUUGUCACACUUUUAAAAGUUGUAUAUCUCAGAUAUAUUGGGAAUUUAAUUAGUUUUAUGUCAUUUUCGUAGGGCAAUUUAGUAGAGAUUUAGCACAUAAAAGAAGAUGUGGGAAUCAGUACAAUUAACCUAAUAGUGAUUUGGUUCAAUGUAAAGACUACUGCUAGGGCACUCAAGUCAUUUUCUUAAUUUAUGCGCAUAUAUAUUAUACGUAACCAACACAUGUUUUCAAAUGAUGUUAGUGUUCAAGCUCUGCUGAUAUUUUAUUCUGUUCAUUUUGAUUUUGUUUUUCAGUUGUGGUUAUAGGAUUGUUUUGUCUAUUUUUUUUUCUUUUUUUUUUCCCCUAUGUACAACUUUUCUAAAAUUCAACUGUUCUCAAUUUGGUUAUUUGAACUGAGGCCUGUUAGGCUGUGCCUUUGGAAGGUCUCAUUGCUUUUAAAGUUGAAUGGUGCUAACUGAAUAUAAUGCGUUCAUUCUUCAGUGUGUGUGAGCGUAUGUGUAUGCAGUGUAUGUGAGUGCAUGCCGUGUGUGCAGUGUGUCACUUGGGCUGUUGGCUUUUUGAGGUAUGUUCAUUUAUAGAGAUUUUGUAACUGUAUUGUUGAAUUUUUAAUGUAUGCUUGGAUUUUAAAGGGGCACCAUAUUUAUGGGUUGUUGUACGAUUCUAGGGAGAUAUAGGGGAUUGAGAGGUCAUGCUAAGGAGAAUAUAUUACUUGCCACAAAGGAAUAUACUUCAUAUAAUAGCAAUGUGAUGAUGUGUGGCAUGCUUUAACUAAGGGAUAUUUUUGUGUAGUAAGAAAGCCAUAUAGAGUCACAUUUUUGUUUUUUCUUUUUUUUUUGGAUUUGGUAACUGAAAUUUUGUGUGAACUAAUGUUUCUUCUGUUUCUUAAGGAAACAUAACUUUUUUGGAAACCAUCUCUUUCUAAUCAAAGACGUUUAGUUUCUUCCCAUUCAUUGUACAAUGUAUUUAUAUGCCAGCUCACUUGAAUGUAUAUAAAAAAAACUAUUUGUUCAUAAUUGUGUUGAAUUUAUUCAACUUAAAUGUGUUUUAUUCAUCCGAUUACACCUGAAACAACAGGUUCCCGCAGCAACGCGCGGACAUAUUUUCUCGUCAAUUCUAAAGUUGGUGGGCAAUUGGCCUGUUCAUGGCUACAGUCAAGAAAAUGCCACUCGAUUUCACUCUACUUAAAAAAAGGCCAGCCAAAUUAGGCUGGGUUGGGAGGGUAAUUCUCAAAAAUUCAGAAGGUGAUUUUGUCUGUAUGGUUUAGCACGGAGCCACUCGAUUUCAUGCUAUUUACAACAAUACCAGCCGAAUGGAGCUGGAUUGGGAAUGUAAUUCUCAAAAGUUCCAGAGGGUAAUUUUGUUCGUUUGGUUUAGCACGGAUUGCUAGGUUACACGCGUGCGCUCCCUCUUCCUCUCUCUCCUACGUGAGCCCUCUCUCAUCUCUCACUUUUCCUGUUUCUGUCCUCCUCAAUCCCUAGCAGCCACAAUUCCAUCUCUUCCGUUUCUUUCAUCCCAAAACGGAAGAAAUAUGGAAAAUCAGGGUGUUCGUCACUGGAAUUUCCAAUGGGGAAGUUUCCUGGCCGACGAGCACACAGCUCCCCGAGAGGUUGGCGCCGGUUGAUACUUCCUGUCGGGCUUCUGCUUGUUGGGGGGCUUGUCGGGCAAGACUUGUCAGGCAAGGCUGAAAGAGAAAGACAAAGUUAACUCUGAAAAGUGCCUUUGUGGGGCCUUAGGUGUAGGCCUUGAGGCUCACAAUCAAAAUUAACUUUAGGUGCUCAGGCAUGCCACUGCCAUCUUUAGCAUGGUAGAUGUAAAACAUAUGUUGAGUUUAAUUAUAUUUGCCCGAGCCACCAAGUUUAGCUAUGAAAUGUGCCUUUUUAGGGCCUUAGGUAUAGGCCUUGAGGCUCGCAAUCAAAACCAACCAAGUACUCGAACAUAUAGAGGUUGUUUCAUUGUUGCAGAAGUAUUAUGACUGUUAUACUUUAAUCACCCGAGCCCGACGAACAGAAUGAACCCAAAUAGGUGCAUUUGUAGGGCCUUAGGUAUAGGCCUUGAGGCUUCCCAUCAGAAUUAAUUCAAUACUCAAACGUUCUAUGACAAUCAUAAUAUAACAGAGAUAAAACUAAGAAAUAGGUCGAUUACUUGCGCCCCAAGUAACUUCGGACUUUUUAUUAUCAAAAACUGUCGUGGAUGGGUUAAGUCCACAUAAGGUUCUUUUUUAUGCCUUGAGAUCAAGGACUUUUGAAUAAUUAAUCUUGUAUGCCUGAGAGGUUAGAACUUAGAUAUUCCAACUUAUCUUUUGCAUGGUUGGGCACUGUUAACCCGAUCGGAUUCAAGAACUGAGAAGUCUUUUAAUCAUAAACUUGCUAGAAAUAACUUGGAUACAAAUGGAAGUAUACAACAUAUUACUAGAUCUAUGAAUGAAAAAGACAGAACAAAGAGGGUCGUGCAAGGUUUCACCUUGUCGGGCAAGGCUGAUCGUCUUGCAACUUCCUAUCUUUUGUGAUUUACAAAGGGUUUGAGAGCUAAAAAAGGGAGAUUGGGAGAUGAUUUUACAGGAAAGAAUCGAUACUACAACAAGAUUUAGACAAGGUAGCAGAGCUUUUACAAAGGCUUUUAGUGAAGGUUGAUCCCGAAAGGGAUGAAGGCUUGAUGCUGACUACAACUUCGUUUGCAAAUCUAGCUUUGAGCAGAAUUUGUGUAUUUGUUUGUUUGUUUGAGUGUCCUUAUCUUUGAUUUCUCUUUCUUCUUUUAUAGACGAUUUGGCUUGGCCUCAUGUAACAUUUAAUCUUGUCCGAAUGUAACUUGAAGGGUAGUGACUCAUCAGCUAUUUACUUGUACUGUCAUUGUAAAGUACUUUUGGGUUGAUUAGCUGGCUGGUCUACACCACUUGACUUCUAGGUAGGUGAGCAAGUGGCUCAAAUGAUCUGCACUUAAUCGAAAAAGGGCAUUUUCUGCCUUCUGGGCUUCGGCUGAACUUCAGGUUUCUUUUCUUCUAGACCUUCUUUUGGGCUUAACUACAUUUUGAGCCCAAAGUUAAGUUUUAACCUGACAUAGGGCUCUUCCAUUUGCUUCCACGGAUUUCUCGAGCUCCAGAUUGCUAGCCUCCGUAUGAAGGUUCGUCUCUCUCUCUCACUUUUUUUUUUCAAUUCGUGAUCGAAUUUUCUUUCCAAGAAUGUUUGAUCUAUUGCCUUCGGAAAGAAUGCCCUGCAUUUUUCUGCCUUUUUCUUUUUAGUGAUUUUUUUUCCUGAUGAGAAUGCAAGUUUUGGAUUUAUUGAUCUUCGAUUCCGCCUCCCCUCUCCUCUACCUGACCCUCCUCUUCUCCCUCCUCCUCUUCCUCUCCUACUUCUUCUUUCUCACUCCCAAUUCCCUCUUCCUCCAGACCUCACUUUCCAUUUCCCCAAAAGUUCCUUCGGUUCUGCAUCAACACGCGGUUGCUCUCGGCAGUUGCCCAAAGUUUCGAAUUUUGAGCCCUGAUGAGAUCAAGAUUUCGGUCUGGAAUCAUACAGUUAACUCAUUCGUAGUGGGAGGUAUGUGGGUUUUCCCCUGUUUCUCAUCCUUUUGCUCUAAUUUGGGGCAAAACUGUAGAAUUCUAUGCAUCUCUGUGUGUGUCUUGGUGUAAUUUAUGUGUAGUCUAUCAAUUUUUGGUGGAGAUACUGAACAUUUCGGCUUUGUUUCUAUAGUUUGUAUUCUAGAUUUGCAAUUUAUAUGAUAUGUUGGUGAUUUGUUUGCUUUUCAUCCUUCCGGAGCAAUAACAUUACAAUUUCGAUUUUUGGCAUCGGAUAUCAUAGGAGUUUACUUACAUGAAUUUGUUUUUAGCAGUUGUUAAUUAGAAUUGGCUAAUUCUUUUACUAAGAAUUUUUUUUUACUCACUCUGUUGGUUCUUCUUCAUAUAAGUACAUAGAAAACGCAUCAAAGACUGAUUAGAAUUAGUUAGCUUAUGGGUGUGUUAACAUGUUUAAGUAGUAGUACUUAAACUCAAAAGAUGCUGGAGUGUUUCUUUCAUUAAUAAUUUGUAUUGAACUCAGCAUUUCAUAAGAGUCGAACCUGAGAGCUUUGUGGAAAGGAAUAAAACAAGAUCGUACCAUUUUAUGUAUGUUUGAUUACAUUGCUUAUAAUUAGUAAUAAUUACAUUUUAUGGACAUUGUAGCUUUCAUGGAGUUCCUUGCUCAAGCAUGUGUGAAGAGGCUAUUUUUUUUCCUUCUGGUUUGUUCACUGUUCAGUUGUGGUUCAGUUCUCCACCUUUUGGUUGGAGUACAACAGAUGCUUUUAAAUUAUUAAAUUAGGAGAGCUAAGAAGAUAUUUUGUGCUAAUUGCUAUUUGAUAACUCUGGUUUUCUCUUUUGGCUACCACCUUGCUCUCUCUCCAUUUCUCUUUUUCCUCCUGCUCUGCUGGUUUUUCUGUGUUACAACCUCUCUGCAAAAACCAGACUGUAUGUGUUUUGCAUGUAUUUGUUCAUGCUUCUAUUGUUUGUUGUUGUGGUGGUGACCCUGUGAAUGGAAUUCUCAGUUAUCUAUUCCUCUAGAAUUAUACAUGAUGCAUCUGAUUUUUGUUCAUCGACAGAUGAUGCCACAUGCUUGAGAUUUUUAUGCCAUCACUCUGUUGGUUCUUUUGUGAUUGUUAUUGAUUGUUUUAAAAUGUGUAUGAUGUGUGUGAUGCGCAAAUUAGAGCAGAGGUUUCUACAUGUGGUUUUAAAUUGAGCAGAGGCGAUAAUUUUUUUUAUUAGAGAAGGAAUCAUUGAGGUCACUUUAGAAAAUGGAUGGGUGUCUGGUUAUUUUGUCAUUUGAGUGGUGUAGCUUUGUUAUGAUCUCUGUUCCGGCACUGUGUGAUUAGUGUUAAUGGUUUUUCAACACUGUUUGUAACCUAUUAUUUUCGUUGUUGUCAUGUAACUUAGUGUUGAUGGCUGUGUUUGUGAUUUUCAGAAAUUUGGAUCGUUAGAGGGAGUCUUAGUAUCACCGUUCUGCGACGGAUUAAGUUUAUGUCACGGCCUCAAUACAUUUUAUGGGUGGAGAUGAGUGGUACAAUUUUUUGGUUUUAGCACAUUUUUGUGUUUGUUGGAAGGUCUCAAUUACUUUUUUUAGAUAAUCUAUGGUCUCAGAUGGAAGAGUUGAAUGCAAAACAGGUCAUGAUGACAAAUGAUACGUUCCCGUUAUUAGUUGCUUUUCUUUCGUGAAAUGUAAUUUUGUCGUAGAUUAAGUUUGUUGCACCAUCACAGAUUAAGUUCAUUGCACUGUCACAGAUUGAGUUCAUUGCACUGUUACAGAUUGAGGUACUUUUCCUGUGUCCGUUUGUUUGCGCUUUGAAUUCUUACUCUGAAUCUCAUUUUUGCAGUUUAGAUUGGACUAGCAUUGCAACAUUGUGAUCUACUCUUGCUGCUGCCUUUGAUCUUGGGGUUCGGAGCGAUUGCACUUGAAUCAAGGCUCUGGUAGUGAACUUUCUCAUUCUUCCCGAAGUGCUUUAAUAUGUGUUGUUGAUAACUGCGCUCUCUCAAUGAACCAGAAAUAUUUUUAGACAAAUCACAACUUCCAUAUUUAAGAAAAUGAGUGGCUUUUUAACAAUGCAUGAAUGUAGCUUACAUGUUCAGAAAAAUUCAUGGAUAUUUACAUUCAACCCGCAAGUAUCAUUAACUCAUAAAAAAUUAAGUUUAAUUCAUGGAUGUUUACAUUGAACCCACAAGAAUAUCAUAAAAAAUUAUGUUUUGUAUUUUCUUUAUCGCGUGUCGCUUCAAAUUUUUAUCUAAAACAUUGUCGAAAUGCUUAUUGGUUACUUUUUAUGUCCUUCUGUUCAUUCAUGAUUGUGUUGAAUUUACUUAGGUCCCGCCGCAACGCGCGGGCCUAUUUUCUAGUUUAAACUAAAGUAAAGAAAAGUUAGAAAACUGAUUAACAGGAAGAAAGGAAAAUACUUCAGACUUCGGACUCUUCACAGUUAGCGGUAAGAAGACGAAGCAACACAGACUCGACCUCCUUAUAAAUGUCAAAUCUGUUCUUCCAAUCUCUUAUUUUUGGAUCAGGUUCUCCGGUCUGCUAAAAGGCUCUUCGAUUUAUUCAAUUAGUCACUCAUGUGUUUGGACGACGGCGAUGUUGCUGCAGAGACAGUGAGUUGUGACAGAGCAGGAGAGUUUCAGGUACCAACUAGCUGCCCAACGCCCAUCUAGGCCGCCCAAGUACCUGCCUAGGCCGACCAACGACCGCCUAAUUCUUUUUCCGAUUUUUCUUUCGAUUUUGGUUAAAUCCCAACGGCUAACCAUCACCCAGCACCUAGGUGCCGCCUAGGUCGAUUUUUUAAAACACUGAUAUAUAUAUAUAUAUAUAUAUAUAUAUAUAUAUAUAUAUAUAGAUUUUUCCUCGCGUUACACUAUAAAAAAAUAAAAUAAAACAACAACAACAACAACAAUGCUAAGUUCUAGGUAAAUGACUCAAAAGAAUUAUAAGUAUGAGAUUGAGGUGGGUCCUGACACAAAGACUACUUCCCUGUCAUGUUCAUCUACCUAAAUUUGAAAUCUUUUUGUAGUGGCGUUUAAAAAUUCCCUCAGAGUGAGAGCUUUUCUCUUCUUGAGAGUUUCCCAUCUUAAAACUUCUUCCUUUCUUCAGAAAGGAUUUGACCAAACAAAAGAAAAGUGAUAUCUUUUCCACCAAGAAUUUAGAAUUAUUAUAAAGGAAUAGAUUCAUAUGUUGUCGUCAGACAAAUAAAAAUACGUUUUUCUUUUUAAUACAUCGAUAUUUUUACACUAAGAGAUCGAUAGCCACACAUAAUUGAUAACUUAAUUUGGUAUCGAAUUUGCCAUCCACGAAUUCGAACCUAAGAACUGUCACUUCCAAGUAAAAAGGAAUAUCAUUAAACUGUAGUACUGAGUAGCAUAAAAACACGAACGCGUAUUAUAUAUUAUUAAAUACAAAAGUCCAACCACAUGUCAAAUGUCGCUAGUUGCAAUAUAAUCUUCUAAGGUCAUAAUUGAUUAAAGUAUCAAAUGUGGCUGCUAAAAUGACUCAAAAGAAAUUAAAGUAUCAGCUCGAGGUGGGUCCUGACACAAAGACUACCUCCUUGUCCUUGAACAAGUUCGUCGACCUAAAAUUGAUAUCUUUUACACCAAGAAAUUAGAAUUAUUAUAAAGGAAUAUAUUCAUACGCUAUAGUCCGACUAAUAAAACACGUAUUAUAUAUUAUUACAAAUCAACGUGCAUUAACAAAGAAAUAUAAAAGGAAAUGCCGGAUUUGUCAACUUGAUGUCGAGAGCAGUGACAUAAUCGCCGUCCAAUUGGAAGAUUCUCGAAUCAAUAUGUACAAGAAAGGAAGAGAAGUUGAAUAUCUCCAUGUCCGGAGUCUUUGACGACUGCUUCUCCUCUGCAUUUUCUGUCUAUAAAUACUCAAUCUGCUAGUCUGCUUCUUCACCCACUAUUCACACUCACACUCACCGCUUUUUGUAACCUUAGAAACUUUGUUCAAAUCUGAUCAGCCUUCAAUGGCGGAUGAGGUGGUGUUGUUGGGUUUCUGGUCAAGCCCAUUUGGGAUAAGACUGAGGAUUGCUCUGGCUGAGAAGGGCAUUGUGUAUGAGUACAAAGAAGAGGAUAUUUGGAACAAGAGCCCACUGUUGCUGCAGAUGAACCCGGUUCACAAGAAGAUCCCGGUUCUCAUUCACAAUGGAAAACCGGUCUCCGAGUCCCUCAUUGCGCUUCAGUACAUUGACGAAGUUUGGAAUGAUAAGGCUCCACUCUUGCCCUCUGACUCUUACCUCAGAGCCCAGGCCAGGUUCUGGGCUGACUUCGUCGACAAGAAGGUGAUUUUUACUCAUUAAUUUACUUAUUUGCAGUAUUUUUGUUUUGCUUUGAAUAUUUUUGGUUUGAAACAAUUGAAAACAUGGGAAAUAGAUCAUCUGGUUAUAUUUUUUAUGUUUAAAUGUUGAGAGUAUCUGGCAUAAGUGCUUAAAACCACACACGUUGCUAAUUGGUUUUAGGUUAAAUGCUUACGGAUAUUUGAGCUGGUAAUUAAACAAUGUUGUUUCAGAAUUUUAAGAUUAAAAGUGUUUAGGGUGUAACGGUUUUACCAUUUAGGAUUUGUAUUAGAAGGAAAACUAAAUGGAAAUUAGAUCUCUGUUUAUGUUUUCAUGGUUAAUAUUACGCUCGCUUUUAAAACAUGGUUGAUUAAGGUUUCAUGUUACAGUUUCGGGUUUAAGGUUUAAGGUUUGUGAUGUAUAUUUGAAAGAUAUCAGCAGAAGAUCUGAACUUGCUCAAAACAAUGUAUAUUAAUUUCCCUGAAUUUUUGGGGAUGUGAAAUGCAGAUAUUUGAGUUUGGGAGGAAGCUUUGGGCAACCAAAGGAGAAGAACAAAAUGCAGCAAUAAAAGAAUUUCUCGACUUCAUUGGCGUGUUAGAAAGAGAGCUUGGAGACAAGCCUUUCUUUGGGGGGGACACCCUCGGAUUCGUGGACGUGACGCUUAUUUCAUACUAUAGCUGGUUUCUUGAGUAUGAGAAAUUUGGCAACUUUAGUGUUGAGGCAGAGCACCCAGAAUUUAUUGCCUGGGUUAAGAGGUGCAUGGAGAAGGAGAGCGUGUCCAAGUCACUUCCCGAGCAGGAAAAGGUCUACGAUUACGCAAUGUUUUUAAGGAAAAAGUUUGGAAUUGAGUAGAUUUUGGUCGAAGCCUGCAAGAAGCUAUUGAUGAUCAGUGUCAUUCCAACUUGUUUGGUCGUGUGGUUGUUCUGUCUUUCAAGAUUCAACCCGUUUUGGGUUGUUGAACUAGAAUAAAAGGGCACUUGACAAGCCUUGUACUGUAAGAGGCACUGUAUUGUGCCUCAGGUCGUAUGUUUAUUUUGCUUAUGUAGUCGGCUUAUCACACCUGUCAACUUGUUAUGUAAGGGAUCUAAAUCUACUUGAUCAAAUUUCUUAUUUUGUAACCACUUCAUAUCCAACAAUGGAUUAUUGGUUGCCACUAAUUGUGUUUAAUUAUGAGUCUAUCUCUCUUAUCAGGUAACAAAGACCAAAAUUUAUUGGCCAAUUCUUGUUUCAUAACCGUAUAGAAUCAACCAGUAAUAUCUUCUACAUAUACAUUUAUGUUCUUGUAAUUUGAUUCAUAAAUCAUUUUUGUCAAUAUAGUGCACAUCCGGUCAACAAGUGACUUGUCCGUACCUAUAUGAACCUACUUCAUGAGAUCCCCAUGCACAUAAGUUUAAGUUUAUGCAUUAAUUUGAUAUAAUCUUGGCCAAUUAGCCGCAAUAGACAUGUUGUGAUAUUUGGUUGCACUUUUGAUUACACUUCCUAAAAAUUGCUCUUUUGAUGAAUUUUGCCUGUGAAAAGUUCAUAGUGCCCUUCAUUAAUAAAAAAGGGUGCGACAAUAUAGACACCCAACUUCCAACGACACCCCCCACCCCUCCUUCGUUUUUGAUGAUUAACUACCACUUAGACAACACCACAACGAUACCACAACUACACUCUAAUAAUUUAAAAAAAAGAAAAAUUAAUGAAAAAGACUUGAAAACUUUGCGUUUUAACGAUAAGGACAAAAUAAAGGGUAAAGUGAAUAGUACCAAGAUUGACUUUUUAAUGUUAAAAUGUGGUUUUUCGUUAAAGUGAACAGUACCGGGAGCUUUUCGUUAAAGUUCCCUUAAAAAAAAACGACCAAAAACUCAUUUUCAAAGAACCUCAUUUAACCAAAAAGGACUUACAUUUCGAUUUGAUUUAAACCAAAAGCCUCAUGAUUUAGAACAACCACUGCAACAACAAUAAUCUGAGAAGCUACAAACUCCAACGAUACUCCUCAUUUUAUGAUUUUAAACCCAGCACAACCAUAACAACAAUCUAAUGACACCACAACGCUGCUCCUACUUUUAUGAUUUUGAACCAACACAAUCACAACAACAAUCUAAUGAUGUCCAAAUGAUACACCCCCGUUUUUAUUUUAUUUUGAACAACCUCAGCCGCAAUAAUUCAUUGAAGGAACCCUCACCUUCUUCAUUCCCCAACCACCAAAACCAAAUUUCAAAUCCAAAAAUCGAAUAAUGAGCUAAAGCAAGAUGAGAGACAGAGAGACAGAGAGAGAAGAAGAAGAAGAAUGGAUCAGAGAGGUGGAGUAAUAAGAAGCUUACCUACUUCCAUGGUGUCCUAGAUGUUAUUCGCCGCUCCAAAUUUGAUUAGUCAAAGAGGAGCAACCAAAGAAGGGAUUUGACGGUGUUGUUGGGUGUUGCUGGUUUUUUUUUUAUCAAUGAAGGGCAGUAUGGGCUUUUCACAUGCAAAAUUGAUCAAAAGAGCGAUUUUUAAAAAGUGUGAUAAAAAGUUCAACCACAUAUCAAAACUUGUCUAAUGUGCCUAAUUGCAAUAUAAUCUUCUAAGGUCAUAAUUGAAUCUAACCUCUUAACAAAACCACUAAAGCUAGUGAUGGUAACUCAUAAGUUAUAUUGGCCAAUACAUUGUCCGACGACUUAUUACUAUAAAAGCAGUUAAGCAUGAUAGUAACUGACACGCCCCGAUCCUGAUGUCCGAGGGACAUUGGGAUGGCCACGUGCUGGACGACACUCGAGGAUGACGAAAGCCAUUUAAUGAAUGCAUGUGCUAAGAACAUGUAAAACAUGUGUAUAAAUUUUGUGCGUGACUACGCAAGUAAUACUCAAAUAUACGUUUUACAAAAUACCAUAAUAAUAUUCAACUACCAACAAUGAAUAUAAUGCUAAUGUUUGACAUGUCCAGAGAAUACAUCUAAUUCAGAGUACAAGCGACAGAUAAAAUAGAGAGGUGCUAUUACAAUAGAAGUCAAAGCAAAGGGAAUGACGCAGUAUCACUGGUAUGGGAAUGCCUCGUACGUUACGUUAGAUCGUAUUCCUCGUUCCUAUGUCCUGAGGGGGCGUAAAACAAACAUGAGUGGACCAAGUUGAUAUAUAUAUAUAUAUAUAUAAUAAAACAGUUAUUCAACAUAUUAACUCCCAAAGUUUUAUGAAAACUAAUAGCAUAAUAGGUGAUAGAUUUGCCGAAAACCCUAGCAUGCCAUAAAACCUUUCAUAAAACAUAUAUCGUAGAUAGUGUGAUAACUAGUGGUAUCAGUAUCACCCGAAGGCAUAUAGAACUUUUCCUUCAUAACACUUCAUUCACAAGUAUUAAUCGCCUGUAGGCUCUUACAGCACCCAACUUGAAGGUCAAUAUAAGUAUCAAUUGCCCGUAGGCUCCUACAGCACCUAACCCAAAGGUCAAUAUAAGUAUCAUCGCCCGUAGGCAGGACCUAACCCAAAGGUCAAUAUAAGUAUCAUCACCCAAAGGUCAAUAUACUCUUUCCAAACAUAGGUACAUAUAUCUCAAAAUCAUCUUCAUAGUAUAAAGUCAUGCGUCAUCUAUACUAUAAAGAAGUGUGUAAAAGCAUGUUCUAAAUAGUAUAUAGUCAUCCAUCAUAUCUACUACAAAGAACAUCAGUUCGACAGAAUAUGAUAUUCCAAAAUAUUCGCAGUAAGCAUAAUAUCUCAUAAAACGUAAUCAUUAAACCAUGUUUUUCAUGUAACGACCCGCCCCUAAAAAUUAUAGUUUUUAUAAUUUUAAAAUGUGAAUAUACAAAAAUGCCUUUCGAGGCAAAUAUGUUGACUUUUGUUGCCACUUUGUUGUGUCAAGUAAGAAUCAUUUUCUUGGUGUAUUUGGAUAGUACUCGUCGCUACGAAUGCGAAGGCAUAAACGGAACAUGAUUUGAAGUUAUAACGAAGAAGUUAUGGGCGAGUAAAAAUAGGGACAAAAUAGUCAUUUAAAUAUUUUUUGAAAGGCUCUAGAUUUUGGAGAAAAAUCUGGAAAGCCACAUGUGUGGCCCAGAUUGAAAGAAAUGAGAAACAGAUGGAUGGAAGAGAAAAUAAAUGAGAGAAAAGAGGGAGGGUGAGGACCAAUCAGGAGAAGGGAGAGGGUGAGUGACCAAUUAGAGAGGAGAGAAAGGAAGGGAAAGGAGAAAGAGGAGGAGCACCAGAUCACCCUUGACCCGGUUCCUCCCCGUCGACCCAACCCGAUUUCUACACACCCCGAUGCCAAUUCUGGCAUUUUCCUGGCAAAUUGACCGUCGCCACCACCUACACACGAGUACACAACACUUCUUUUUCAACUUCCAUCCCAAGCCCAAUGGUUUUUGGUCUUGUUUUCGUGGAGAUGGCAUUGGCGGCACCGUGGGGGGAGAUCGGUAGAAAUCUGCCAUUUCUGAAGGUAAACCCUGCGACUACUAUCACCAUUAGCCUUUCCUUGAACCCAGGAACAAUUUCCAAUCAUUGGUUAGAGCAUCGGAGUCAAUUUGAGGACGAAUUAAGAAACACCCUUUAUAGGGUUUCCGACCUGUUUUAGUGAAAUUGGGGCUUUUCCCGGCCAAAUUGGCCUUAGUCACAUGUAUGAAAGUUGCUCCAUUCAUCGAGAUCUUCAUUUCUAUAAAAUUUUGGAAUUUUUGGAGUUGUUUGAUUCUCCGGCGAGUCGGGGCGGGUGGCCACCACAUGUGGCGGCGCGUGGAGGAAAAACCUGAGGUUCCUCGAUGUGCCGAAUCCGAAUCCGCCAUCCGUUUUCCCAAAUUCUAACAUUUAAGUAAAGUUUUAGUAAAAGGUCCUUAAUUGUGUUUAGACGCGUUGAUGGGAAACAACGUCAUUCUCAAUAGUUCGAGCGGCUUUCGGGCGAUGGAAAACUUGUGAGUGGACCCCUUAUUAACUAUAUAUUUUUAUAAAUUAUUAACCUAGCAUGCAUUUCAUAUUUCAUGCUUUGAAUAUGCUUUAUAUUAUGUUUUUUGGGAUUUUCUAUAAUUAUGGUUUAUAUAGAAUUCAUGAUUUAAUUGCUUUACGGAAUAUUUAUAAUUUAUCGAAUUUAUGUUUAAUAGUGGUGAUGAAUUAUUGGUUUUGGAUAUAUGAAACCCUUGGUUUUACGAAUAUGUUUUAUAUACGAUUUAUGCGACGAGAUUUUGGUACUUACCUAAUGGGUUAUCAUACGGCACAUCCGCACAUCACGGGCAUUAUGUCUAUGGCCAUAGGUCACAAAUGAUGGAGGAGUGAGAUAUGAUAUAUUAUAUACCCCCAGCUUCACCACCGAAAGCAGUGUCGGACUGCUUCACUAGCCACGGCUAGUGUCGGUGUGGAUGUAUGCUAUUUUAUACAGCAUCACCUUCGGGUGAUGGACAUGUUAUACAACUUCACCUUUGGGUGAUGAACAUAUUCUUCAGCUUCACCUUCGAGUGACGGACAAGUACUGCCUUCGGGCGACUAUGAUACCCCUCGUUGAGUAAAACAUGAAUAUGAUUUACGAUGUUUCACAAAUGUUUUACACUACAUGCUAGGGUUUUUCAUAAAACCUACUAUGUAGAAUUAUAUAUUUGUUUUCAAAACAGGGGGUUAUUAUGUUCAAAAAUAAAAUAUUUUCCUAUUAUUAGUAUUAUUAUUAUAAACUCUGGUCCACUCACCUUUUUUGUUUUGCGUCCCCUUUAGGAUUUAAAUUCGAGGCACAUAAUCCCGACGUCAGGACACUUCUACAUAUGUAUUCUAGAGUCUUCUCAGUAUAGGUAUCAUUCAUUUGUUCGUAUAUUUUCCUAGUAAUUCUUCCAUAUUAUUCUUAGUAGUUGUAUGCUCUGAACACGUUCUUGCCAUGAUAUUUUACGUUUUAAUUGCAUAUCUUUUACUUAAAUACAUGUUUAAAAUGGCUUCGUCACCCUCAGGUGUCGACCAUCACGUGUCUACCCUGAUAUUUAGGGAUAUCGGGGUUGGGGCGUGUCAUUUCAUGUAUGCAUUGUACUAUUAAAACAUGCAUUUUAGAAGGGGUCCACUCACAGAUACUCCAUCAUCGAAGAGCCGUAAGAAAUAGGAAUGACGAAAUCGCUGCUAAUAAUUGCACCUAAGCACAUAAAGGGUACAAUUAAUAAAACUAUACUCAAACGAUUGAAUUUCGAAAAAUGGAAGUCAUAAACGAAUUCAAGAUGUCGAAAAACAUAAAAAGGGACCUCAGGUACCCCCACACACCAUCACACGCCUCCGCAAGGUGGUAGCUCCGGCACUCAUGCACCGCCGUGGGUCGCCGAAAAAUUCGUCGACUAGACUGUGGCUCCACGCGUCGGCACCAGUGCCCCUUCAUGCGCAGGCCCACGCGCCUUCACGCGCAGCCUGGGGUUCCUGGGUUCUCUGGUUUUGGGCCUGGGCUUUGAGCUUGAGCCGAAGGGUUUCUGGGCUUAAAUGGUUGGGCCUCACGGGCCUAGGGUCAACAAGUCAAAGGCCCAAGUUGCUCAGCUUAAGGGCCUGGGGUCCAAGGUUUUCAGAAGGGUUGGGGUCUUGGGGUUAACGGGCAGGAGGCCCAAGUUCCACUCGGUCCCAAGGUCGGUUCUUUGGGGUUUUUGGGUUAGGGUUUCAAGGGAAUUCGGCUCAGAUGCAACGACCCAAAGGCCCAAAUCUACAUGGCCUUAUGGGCCUGGGUUUGGUGGGUUAAAGGGUUGGGCUUUAAGGCCAGGCCCAAGGCUCUGGGCUAAAGGACCUAGGCUUGGGGUUUUGGGUCUAGCCGACCUAAAAGCCUGGUUUCGACGGAAAAAGGAAGCUGGAGCUUCCCAAGCUCCAAUCGGCCUCAAUCUUCUACUCUAGCAUGCAAUCUACCUAUCAAAUUGAAGCUUAGGAGAAGAGGAAGAGAUUCAUACCUUUGGCACAAUGAAUGGUGGCCGAAGUUGGUCGAAAUCUGUGUUCGAAGGUCAUGGGCUCGUCAAGGAGUUUUUGGGUAGACUAUGGGUGUCCCGUGCUUCACAAAGAUGAGGGAGAGGGAGAGGGAGAAGGAGUCCACGAUGGUGGUGGUGGUGUCGACGUUGAGGAUGUUUUGGGGUGUGUGGGUGUUUGUGUGUCUCACCGGAGAGAAGAGGGAGGGUGAAUUGUGAGAGAGAUCCGAGAGUGAGAUAGAUAGUGGAAGUGAGUGAAAGAGCUCGGGGAGAAGAGAGAGAAGGAGGUAGUGGGUGAGUACUUGCCAUGUGACAAGCAGAGAGAGGUGGAGAAGUUUAGAAAAUCUGAAAAUGAGGAUUUUGAUUGGGUGAGGAUAGGGGACUAAAAUGUAAAUUUCAAAAAAUCUUUAGGGAAAUUGUGAAAUUUACAAUAAUUUGGGGGUGGGGUUUAACAAUAACCCAUAUUGCUAGAUAACUUUAUUCUUAUAGUCAAGGUCAUAUCUACUCCUUGUCGAGGCUUCUUACCGAACUCGACUUCCUCAUGCUAUUAAUUGUCCACACUUUCGUUAUUAUUAUGGUGUGACUGUUCUCACUUACUUUUACUGGGUUAGAGACCUAUGAAUUGAUUGGUGAAUAUAAUUUAAAUGUGUGUUUUCACCAAUGUAAUAUAUAUAUAUAUAUAUAUAUAUAUAUAUAUAUAUAGAGAGAGAGAGAGAGAGAAAGAAAGAAAGAGAGAGAGAAAGAGAAAGAGAGAGAGAGUUUUUCUAGCGUUACACUUAAAAUUCAAAUAAAAAAAAUAAAAAACAAUGCUGAGUUCUAGGUAAAAUGACUCAAAAGAAUUAAAGUAUGAGAUCUAGGUGGGUCCUGACACAAAGACUACUUCCCUGUCAUGUUCGUCUACCUAAAAUUGAUAUCUUUUCGUAAUGGCAUUUAAAAACUCUCUCCGAGUGUGAGAGCUUUUCUCUUUUCUUGAGAGUCUUUCCCACCUUUAGUGUGUGUAGCUUCCAACUCGUCGAUUUUGUUGUCACCGACCCUCUCUGAGGUGAGGGUUGGUGGUUGCUCUGGCCGUUUUCUUUCUCCUUUCUCCUUUCGUUCCUUUUGCUUCCUCUCUCCCCAUAUUUCCUCCCCGUUUUAUCCAGUCUGGUAUACCUUUUGGGCGUCCAUCUUCUUCGCUUCCGUUCCGGUCUGCUAUCAGGUUUCAACCCAUUUUGUUGCACUCUUCCGAGAAGGUGUGUCAAGUUACGGUUACGCCGGCUCAAGUGUUUACAACACCACCUCUUUCUUUUUGUCUGCCUUUGUUGGCAGUGUUAUCCAUGGUAUUCCCAUGGGCUUCUUUCGUUUUUUGGCUGGGACCGGUGAAUCGUUCGUGGUUGGGAGAUAAGAUAUCUCUUUGUUUCAUCUCUACGGUGUUGCUUGGUGGAAGAUGUGGUGUCGAUUUGGGUAAUUGGUUUUGGAUGAUUGGGAAGCACUGUUGCAGCAGUGGAAGCAAACUGGAAUGUUCCGGAGCUCUGUAUCAGAAUGUAGGCUUUGGGUUGGGCUUUUGUAAGAUAGUUCGGGUACCCCUUUUUGUAUUGUUAAUAUUUGUUUGUGGGAAUUUGUCUUGUAAUUAACUUUUAUAAUAAAACAUCUUCCUUUCUUCGGAAAGGAUUUGACAAAAAAAAAAAAGAAAAUUGAUAUCUUUUCCACCAAGAAUUUAGAAUUAUUAUAAAGGAAUAGAUUCAUAUGCUGUCAAACAAAUAAAAAUACGUUUUUUUUUUUAAUACAUCGAUACUUUUUGUACUAAGAGAUUGAUAGUCACACAAUAGGCAACUUAAUUUGAUAUUGAAUUUGUCAUCCAUGUGAUUCAAACCUAAAACAUGUCACUUCCAAGUGAAGAGGAAUACACCAGACCGUAGUACUGAGUCACAUAAAAACACGAACACGUAUUAUAUAUUAUUAAAUACAAAAGGAAAAAUGCCGGAUUUGAUGUCGAAGGCAGUCACAUAAUCGCCAUCCAGUUGGAAGAUUCCGGAAUAUAUACGUACAAAAAAUAGGAAGAGAAGUAGAAUCUUUUCAUGUCCGGAGUCUUUGAUGAUUGCUUCCCCUUCGAUUUUGUCUAUAAAUAAACAAUCUGCUCGUCUGCUUAUACACCCACUACUCACUCAGAGUCUCCGCUUUUUUGUAACCUUAGAAACUUUGUUCAAAUCUGAUCAACCUUCAAUGGCGGAUGAGGUGGUGUUGUUGGAUUUCUGGCCAAGCCCAUUUGGGAUGAGACUGAGGAUUGCUCUGGCUGAGAAGGGCAUCGAGUAUGAGUACAAAGAUGAGGACUUGUGGAACAAGAGCCCACUGUUGCUGCAGAUGAACCCGGUUCUCAUUCACAAUGGAAAACCGGUUUCUGAGUCCCUCAUUGCGCUUCAGUACAUUGGUUUGGAAUGACUCCACUCUUGCCCUCUGACUCUUACCUCAGAGCCCAGGCCAGGUUCUGGGCUGACUACGUCCACAUGAAGGUGAUUUUUACUCAUUAAUUUACUUAUUUGUACUAUUUUAAUUUGUUUUGAAUAU
rnacentral:lncRNA from 1 species